rnacentral:lncRNA from 1 species
UGAUUCAGUAUUAUCAGAAUGCAAGUCUCACCCUUGAAUUUACAGGAUACCCCUUUUUUCCUCUCCAUGGGAUUACAUCCCGAGUUAUUGUGCAAAAAAAAUAAAGAGGUUAUGGAAGUCAAUAUUCUCGCAUUUAUCGCUACUGCACUGUUCAUUUUAGUUCCUACUGCCUUUUUAUUAUUUAUGUAAAAACAGUCAGCCAAAAUAAUUAAUUGGAAUUCCAAUUAAUCAUUGAAGAAAUGAAAAAGGGAUUAAAUAAAAAAAAUCCAAGUCUUAAAUGAAAGGAUCCGGUUGGAAUCUUAAAGUGUGGUAGAAAGAACUACAUAUAGUUUUUUCUACCACACUUUAGAGUCUUUUCUUUCUAUUAUAUUAGCUUUGAAUCUAUAUAGAAUAGAUUAGUGGAUUGAAAUAGUAGUCUAAUUCAAUUUCUUUUUUCAUUGCAUCCACUUAAUUUCAAUCAAGUCAAAAUAAAAAAAAUCGAAGACAAUUCUUGACCAAAGAAUCUAUGGAGGGAGAAAAAAUUAAUAUUAAGAAUAGACUAUAUAUAGUAAAAAAGUAUAUAGUAAAAUAUAGUAAAAAAGAUAUAUAGUAAAAAGGAAAAAACCAGCGAACCUUUCAUGCUUAAACAUGCCGCGAGAUACUUCAAAAGAGCAGCAAAAUUAUGCUAAGAAAAGGAAAGAUUAUAAAAAAAAGGGAAAAUGUAUGAUAUGUCGUGAAUAGCUCCGUGGAAUAAAAUAGAAUUUCCUUAUGCAUAGAACUUUUUUACCCAUCGGUCAUUUCUAGUAGAAAUUAUGAAUUGCUGUAAUGGAUCUUUCUAUUUUCUAUUUUUCUAUAUAGUAGAAUAUAAUGGCUCUUUCUUACAAUACAAGAGUUUCUUACAGGAGUGAAACAAAACCAAAGAAAAAGAAAAAAGAAUAACGUUUGACAAAAUGAUCAAUGCAAAAUGAUCAAUUAAAGAAAAGACUUGAUACAACAAUUCGAUUACUCAAUCAAUUAGUAGUAGUAUCCCUAGAGUCCACUCCUCCCCCACACCACUAGUGAAAGAGAAAAUGUAAAGACUACCAUUAAAGCAGCCCAAGCAAGACUUACUAUAUCCAUCUAAAUUACGUCUCCUAUUUCUAUGAAGGAAUUUUUCUACUAUUGAUCAAUAAUCAUAGCGGAAUCAAGGGUACAGAGUCAAAAAGGGAUUCUGCCCUAAGACUAUGGAUCAAUCAGUUCCAAGAAUUUACUCCUAACAAAUUAUUAUAGGAAUUCUGGUAGAAUUAGAGAACAUUAAAUAUAAAUACGAUACAUAGCCCUUUCUUUUCCGUAAAAAAGAAUACGGGAAUGAUGUCCUGAAUAUAAGAAGCGGGAAUAGGAAGAUUUUUUAUUCCUUUUGUUACUCCUUUUUUAUAAGUAAAGGACGCCCGAAUAUACCAUAAAAUUAUGGAUAGGAUAGAUAAAUAUUUAUUGGAUACCUACCUUACCUAUGUUUAGUUUUGACUUAAAUCCUACAACCUCGCUUUCUAUCAUUCUAUGAAAAAAUGAAGAGACUUUAUCCACAACUCCUAAAUUUAUUUAGGAUCGGCCUAUUUAAUCUGAUUUUCGCUAGAAUAAGUAGCCCUUACUUUAGUGUAUGUAGGUAACAUAAGAUGUACGAUAAAAAAAUGUAUGAUAAUUAGGAAGUCUUGAUAUUCUUUCGUGGAGUCCCUUCUUCAAUCUUAGAUUGAAAAAAGCGGAAUGCCCUUUAGGGACCUUUCCUUUCUUUGGAUACCAAGAUUUCUGAAAUCUUAGCUUCGUAGUUUUUAAUUCUAAAAUAGGAUCAAUUAAGAACUAAUUCAAAUUCAUAUAAUAAAAGAAUAAGAAAACGCUACCUUAUCCCUAGUGGUAAUGGUUUGGGCCAGUACCGCCAAAACAAACCCUAGUUUGAGGAUAGAACUAUGGAUUCUCAAAAUCCAGUAUCGCCAAGCCUAGUUACUCUCUUGCCCGAACUUAUGCGAAGUAUGAAUUUCUCGAGUUCGAUCAGUACUAUAAGCCUAAGUAUUUUAUCGAUCAGGCGGCACCCAGAUUUGAACUGGGGAUAAAGGAUUUGCAGUCCCCUGCCUUACCACUUGGCCAUGCCGCCAAAAAAUCCGAUCGAAAAUUGAGAAAAGAGCAAGUAUUCACCCACGUUUUCUUACGAAAAUCCCCUUUCUUUUAUUUUGAAUCUAAUUCUACUUACUUUUUUCCAAUCUUUUUCAAAAAAUCUAUUUCUGUUUCUUUUUGAUCCUGUUUCGAUUAUUCUCCUCGAUGGAUUCUAUGUUAAAACAUACAUUGCUAACACUAGAAAACUUUCUGCUUCUUUCUAUUGAGAUGAAAAAGGAGAAAAAGUAGAUUUCUAGGGCUGCAAAAUUCAUAAAAAAUGGGAACCAUUAACUAGAAUUCUCUUUUUUUUAUUUGCAGUAGUAAACGACUCUUAAAUGUGUAUUUUCCCCCCUCUUCCUUUUAAAGGCAUAAUAAAGGAUUCUUUUUUUAUACCUAAUCCGUGUAUAGGUAAACUCCAGGUCCGAACAGCAUUAUUAUCCAAAGAUCCCCCUUAUGUACAUAUCUCUAUGGGGAAUCGUGCUUUAAUUUUUCAAAGCAUUAAAUAUCUUGAAUAAAAAAAAGGAAAUUUGCUCUGAUAUAAUUUGCUCUGAUAUAAUUUGCUCUGAUAUAGAGUAUAAGCUGACUAUCUUGACCCACCCAAGUGAAAUUACGAAAAAAGAAAAGCAGGGAUAUGUGGAGAGGCGGAUAACUAGAUUGGCAUGUACUUAAAAGGGCACUUACUUUAUUUUAGGAUUCUACAAUGAAAUCCUAAAUUUGCUAGCAAUUCUACUAGACCGAAACAAAAGCGGAACCCUCAAAUUCUUUUUUGAAAUUAAACUAAGCGCGCUAUUCUAAAUCGAAGUAAAGUCAACAAACUCUCUAGUGUAUUAUAUUACGGCUUUAUCGCAUUCAUAGAAAGGAGAUAAAAUGAGAAAUCUUUGCCAUUCAAUCUGACUAGAAUAUCAUCAUUCAAUCUGACUAGAAUAUCAUAAAGUAUAAGUUGUAAGUGGCAUAAUUUUUUUAUAAGAAUGUUUUAUCAAUUCAUUUUCAUUCCAUUUGUACCCCUGGCAAAUUAGAACUUUCGUCGAAAUUGUCUCUAUUCAUAUGUAUGAAAUACAUAUAUGAAAUACGUAUGUGGAGUUCCCUAGAAUUUCAUGUGAUUCAGUAAACAGAAUAUAGAUUCCAUGAUUGCUAGAUCGAUCCGUAGGGGUUGAUGAAGAGUGAGCUGAUAAUGGAAUUUUUCUUCGAUAAACAGGAAACUUAAGAUUAAGAUGCUCCGGAAUGGGAAUGAGGGAAUGUCCACAAUACCCGGAUUUAGUCAGAUCCAAUUUGAGGGAUUUUGUAGGUUCAUUAAUCAAGGCUUGGCAGAAGAGCUUGAGAAGUUUCUAACAAUUAAAGAUCCAGAUCACGAAAUUGCAUUUCAAUUAUUUGCGAAAGGAUAUCAAUUGCUAGAACCCUCGAUAAAAGAAAGGGAUGCUGUGUAUGAAUCACUCACCUAUUCUUCCGAAUUAUAUGUAUCUGCGAGAUUAAUUUUUGGUUUCGAUGUGCAAAAGCAAACCAUUUCUAUUGGAAACAUUCCUAUAAUGAAUUCCUUAGGAACCUUUAUAAUAAAUGGAAUAUACCGAAUUGUGAUCAAUCAAAUAUUGCUAAGUCCUGGUAUUUACUACCGCUCGGAAUUAGACCAUAAGGGAAUUUCUAUCUACACCGGGACUAUAAUAUCAGAUUGGGGAGGGAGAUCGGAAUUAGCAAUUGAUAAAAAAGAAAGGAUAUGGGCUCGCGUGAGUAGAAAACAAAAGAUAUCUAUUCUAGUUCUAUCAUCAGCUAUGGGUUCGAAUCUAAGAGAAAUUCUAGAUAAUGUUUCCUACCCUGAAAUUUUCUUGUCUUUCCCGAAUGCUAAGGAGAAGAAGAGGAUUGAGUCAAAAGAAAAAGCUAUUUUAGAGUUUUAUCAACAAUUUGCUUGUGUAGGUGGGGACCUGGUAUUUUCGGAGUCCUUAUGUGAGGAAUUACAAAAGAAAUUUUUUCAACAAAAAUGUGAAUUAGGAAGGAUUGGUCGACGAAAUAUGAAUCGGAGACUGAAUCUUGAUAUACCUCAGAACAAUACAUUCUUGUUACCACGAGAUGUAUUGGCCGCUACGGAUCAGUUGAUUGGAAUGAAAUUUGGAACGGGUAUACUUGACGAUGACGAUAUGAAUCACUUGAAAAAUAAACGUAUUCGUUCGGUUGCAGAUCUGUUACAAGAUCAAUUCGGACUGGCUCUUGGUCGUUUACAACAUGCGGUUCAAAAAACUAUCCGUCGAGUAUUCAUACGUCAAUCGAAACCGACUCCCCAUACUUUAGUAACUCCAACUUCAACUUCGAUUUUAUUAAUAACUACUUAUGAGACCUUUUUUGGCGCAUACCCCUUAUCUCAAGUUUUUGAUCAAACGAAUCCAUUGACACAAACUGUUCAUGGGCGAAAAGUGAGUUGUUUAGGUCCUGGAGGGUUGACUGGGAGAACUGCAAGUUUUCGGAGCCGAGAUAUUCAUCCGAGUCACUAUGGGCGUAUUUGUCCAAUUGACACGUCCGAAGGAAUCAAUGUUGGACUUACUGGAUCCUUAGCAAUUCAUGCGAAAAUUGAUCACUUGUGGGGAUCUGUAGAGAGUCCGUUUUAUGAAAUAUCUGCUGAGAAAGCAAAAGAAAAAAAAGAGAGACAGGUGGUUUAUCUAUCACCAAAUAGAGAUGAAUAUUAUAUGAUAGCAGCAGGAAAUUCUUUAUCCUUGAAUCAAGGUAUUCAGGAAGAGCAGGUUGUUCCAGCUAGAUAUCGUCAAGAAUUUCUGACUAUUGUAUGGGAACAGAUUCAUGUUAGAAGUAUUUUUCCUUUCCAAUAUUUUUCUAUUGGGGGCUCUCUCAUUCCUUUUAUUGAGCACAAUGAUGCGAAUCGGGCUUUAAUGAGUUCUAAUAUGCAGCGCCAAGCAGUUCCGCUUUCUCGGUCCGAGAAGUGCAUUGUUGGAACUGGAUUGGAACGCCAAACAGCUCUAGAUUCGAGGGUUUCCGUUAUAGCCGAACGCGAGGGAAAGAUCAUUUCUACUGAUAGUCAUAGGAUCCUUUUAUCAAGUAGUGGGAAGACCAUAAGUAUUCCUUUAGUAAACCACCGGCGCUCUAACAAAAAUACUUGCAUGCACCAAAAACCGCGGGUGCCGCGGGGUAAAUCCAUUAAAAAAGGACAAAUUUUAGCAGAGGGAGCUGCCACAGUUGGGGGGGAACUUGCUUUAGGAAAAAACGUAUUAGUCGCUUAUAUGCCAUGGGAAGGUUACAAUUUUGAAGACGCGGUACUAAUUAGCGAACGUUUGGUAUAUGAAGAUAUUUAUACCUCUUUUCACAUCCGUAAAUAUGAAAUUCAGACGGAUACGACAAGUCAAGGCUCUGCUGAAAAAAUAACUAAAGAAAUACCACAUCUAGAAGAACAUUUACUCCGCAAUUUGGACAGAAAUGGAGUUGUUAGGUUGGGAUCCUGGGUAGAAACUGGCGAUAUUUUAGUAGGUAAACUAACGCCUCAGAUAGCGAGCGAAUCGUCGUAUAUCGCGGAAGCUGGAUUAUUACGGGCUAUAUUUGGCCUUGAGGUAUCCACUUCAAAAGAAACUUCUCUCAAAUUACCUAUAGGUGGAAGAGGGCGCGUUAUCGAUGUGAAAUGGAUCCAGAGGGACCCCCUCGACAUAAUGGUUCGUGUAUAUAUUUUACAGAAACGUGAAAUCAAAGUUGGGGAUAAAGUAGCCGGAAGACAUGGGAAUAAGGGGAUCAUUUCCAAAAUUUUGACUAGACAAGAUAUGCCCUAUUUGCAAGAUGGAACACCUGUUGAUGUGGUCUUCAAUCCCUUAGGAGUACCCUCCCGAAUGAAUGUGGGACAAAUAUUUGAAAGCUCGCUCGGAUUAGCCGGGGAUCUGCUAAAGAAACAUUAUAGAAUAGCACCCUUUGAUGAGAGAUAUGAGCAAGAGGCUUCAAGAAAACUUGUGUUUUCAGAAUUAUAUGAAGCCAGUAAGGAAACAAAAAAUCCAUGGGUAUUUGAACCCGAGUACCCGGGAAAAAGCAGAAUAUUUGAUGGAAGAACAGGAGACCCCUUCGAACAACCUGUUCUAAUAGGGAAGUCCUAUAUCUUAAAAUUAAUUCAUCAAGUUGAUGAGAAAAUUCAUGGGCGUUCUACUGGGCCCUACUCACUUGUUACACAACAACCCGUUAGAGGAAGAGCCAAGCAAGGGGGACAACGAGUAGGAGAAAUGGAAGUUUGGGCUUUAGAAGGAUUUGGUGUUGCUCAUAUUUUACAAGAGAUACUUACUUAUAAAUCUGAUCAUCUUAUAGCUCGCCAAGAAAUACUUAAUGCUACGAUCUGGGGAAAAAGAAUAGCUAAUCACGAGGAUCCUCCAGAAUCUUUUCGAGUGCUCGUUCGAGAACUACGAUCUUUGGCUCUAGAACUUAAUCAUUUCCUUGUAUCGGAGAAGAACUUCCAAGUUAAUAGGGAGGAAAUUUGAUCGGAAUAAAUAUUAAUUAUUUUCUUUAUUUUAUGAUUGACCAAUAUAAACAUCAACAACUUCAAAUUGGACUCGUCUCCCCUCAACAAAUAAAGGCUUGGGCUAACAAAAACCUACCUAAUGGAGAAGUCAUUGGCCAAGUCACAAGGCCCUCUACUUUUCAUUAUAAAACCGAUAAACCAGAAAAAGAUGGAUUGUUUUGCGAAAGAAUCUUUGGACCCAUUAAAAGCGGAAUUUGCGCUUGUGGAAAUUCUCGAGCGAGCGGGGCUGAAAACGAAGAUGAAAGAUUUUGCCAAAAAUGCGGGGUAGAAUUUGCGGAUUCUCGGAUACGAAGAUAUCAAAUGGGAUACAUCAAACUCGCAUGUCCGGUGACUCAUGUAUGGUAUUUGAAAGGUCUUCCUAGUUAUAUCGCGAAUCUUUUAGAUAAACCUCUGAAGAAGUUGGAGGGCUUAGUAUAUGGAGAUUUCUCUUUUGCUAGGCCCAGCACUAAAAAACCUACUUUCUUACGAUUACGAGGUUUAUUCGAAGAGGAAAUUGCAUCCUGUAACCACAGCAUUUCUCCCUUUUUUUCUACCCCGAGCUUUACAACAUUUCGAAAUCGGGAAAUUGCGACAGGAGCAGGUGCUAUUAGAGAACAAUUAGCAGAUUUGGAUUUGCAAAUUAUUAUAGAGAAUUCGUUGGUCGAAUGGAAGGAAUUAGAAGACGAGGGCUAUAGUGGAGAUGAAUGGGAAGAUAGAAAAAGACGAAUAAGAAAAGUUUUUUUGAUUAGACGCAUGCAAUUGGCGAAACAUUUUAUUCAAACAAAUGUAGAACCUGAAUGGAUGGUUUUGUGCUUAUUACCGGUUCUUCCUCCCGAAUUGAGGCCCAUUGUUUAUAGGUCUGGGGAUAAAGUAGUGACUUCGGACAUUAAUGAACUUUAUAAGAGAGUUAUCCGCCGGAACAACAACCUUGCCUAUCUAUUAAAAAGAAGUGAAUUAGCGCCAGCAGAUUUAGUAAUGUGCCAGGAAAAAUUGGUACAAGAAGCCGUGGAUACACUUCUUGAUAGUGGGUCCCGCGGGCAACCGACGAGGGAUGGUCACAAUAAAGUAUACAAAUCGCUUUCAGAUGUAAUUGAAGGUAAAGAGGGAAGGUUUCGCGAGACUCUCCUUGGGAAACGAGUCGAUUACUUGGGUCGUUCCGUCAUUGUUGUGGGUCCUUCGCUUUCAUUACAUCAAUGUGGAUUACCCCUAGAGAUAGCAAUAAAGCUUUUUCAGCUAUUUGUAAUUCGCGAUUUAAUCACGAAACGCGCUACUUCUAAUGUCAGGAUUGCUAAAAGGAAAAUUUGGGAAAAGGAACCGAUUGUAUGGGAAAUACUUCAAGAAGUUAUGCGGGGACAUCCUGUACUGUUAAAUAGAGCACCUACCCUGCAUAGAUUAGGCAUACAGGCCUUCCAACCCACUUUAGUAGAGGGGCGUACUAUUUCUUUACACCCAUUAGUGUGUAAGGGUUUCAAUGCGGACUUUGAUGGGGAUCAAAUGGCUGUUCAUCUACCUUUAUCCUUGGAAGCUCAGGCGGAAGCUCGUUUACUUAUGUUUUCGCAUAUGAAUCUCUUAUCUCCCGCUAUUGGGGAUCCUAUUUGCGUACCAACCCAAGACAUGCUUAUCGGGCUUUAUGUAUUAACGAUUGGAAACCCUCGAGGUAUUUGUGCAAAUAGAUAUAAUAGUUGCGGAAACUAUCCAAAUCAAAAAGUAAAUUACAAUAAUAAUAAUUCUACGUAUACGAGAGAUAAAGAACCCAUUUUUUAUAGUUCUUAUGAUGCACUAGGAGCUUAUAGACAGAAACUAAUCAGUUUAGACAGUCCCUUGUGGCUACGAUGGAAACUAGAUCAACGCGCCAUUGGAUCAAGAGAAGUUCCGAUUGAAGUUCAAUAUGAAUCUUUGGGGACUUAUCAUGAGAUUUAUGCUCACUAUCUAAUAGUGGGAAAUAGAAAAAAGGAAAUCUGUUCUAUAUACAUUCGAACUACUCUUGGUCAUAUUUCUUUUUAUAGAGAAAUAGAGGAAGCCGUACAAGGAUUUAGUCAGGCCUAUUCAUACACUAUCUAAACAAGGAAGUUAGAUUCGGGGAUGCCCCGCCCUUUUCGGGGGGCAUUCCGAUUUCCUUAGUAUCAUCAUUUUAUUUUUGCCGCGCGAAUCCAGAUUGAGAUUGAGAAAAUGAAGCUAAUUAAAUUUUCGAAUCACUGACUCACGCCCAUUGUCGAAUCCUACUCAGCAAUUCUCGAAUCCUACUCAGCCGAAAAAGGGGGUACUUAUGUAUGGCGGAACGAGCCAAUCUGGUCUUUCAUAAUAAAGAAAUAGACGGAACUGGUAUGAAACGACUUAUUAGCAGAUUAAUAGAUCAUUUCGGAAUGGGAUAUACAUCCCAUAUACUGGAUCAACUAAAGACUCUGGGCUUCCAUCAAGCCACUACUACAUCGAUUUCGUUAGGAAUCGAGGAUCUUUUAACAAUACCCUCUAAGGGAUGGUUAGUCCAAGACGCGGAACAACAGAGUUUUCUUUUGGAGAAACACUAUUAUUAUGGGGCUGUACACGCGGUAGAAAAAUUACGCCAAUCCGUUGAGAUAUGGUAUGCGACAAGUGAAUAUUUGAAACAAGAAAUGAAUUCGAAUUUUCGGAUAACAGAUCCUUCUAAUCCAGUCUAUCUAAUGUCUUUUUCAGGAGCCAGAGGAAAUGCAUCUCAGGUACACCAAUUAGUAGGUAUGAGAGGAUUAAUGGCGGACCCUCAAGGACAAAUGAUUGAUUUACCUAUUCAAAGCAAUUUACGCGAGGGACUUUCUUUGACCGAAUAUAUAAUUUCCUGCUACGGAGCCCGCAAAGGGGUUGUGGAUACUGCUGUACGAACAGCAGAUGCAGGAUAUCUUACACGUAGACUUGUUGAAGUAGUUCAACAUAUUAUUGUGCGUAGAAGAGAUUGUGGUACUAUACGAGGUAUUUCUGUGAGUCCUCAAAAUGGGAUGACGGAAAAACUUUUUGUCCAAACACUCAUUGGUCGUGUAUUAGCAGACGAUAUAUAUAUCGGUUCACGAUGCAUGGCCGCUCGAAAUCAAGACAUUGGAGUUGGAUUAGUCAAUCUAUUCAUAACUGCUUUUCGAGCACAACCAUUUCGAGCACAACCAAUAUAUAUUAGAACCCCCUUUACUUGCCGGAGCACUUCUUGGAUCUGUCAAUUAUGUUAUGGUCGGAGUCCUACUCAUACUGAUCUGGUCGAAUUGGGAGAAGCCGUAGGUAUUAUUGCGGGUCAAUCAAUUGGGGAGCCUGGGACUCAACUAACAUUAAGAACUUUUCAUACGGGCGGAGUAUUCACAGGGGGUACUGCCGACCUUGUACGAUCCCCUUCGAAUGGAAAAAUCCAAUUCAAUGAGAAUUUGGUUCACCCCACACGUACCCGUCAUGGACAGCCUGCUUUUCUAUGUUAUAUAGACUUGCAUGUUACUAUUCAGAGUCAGGAUAUUCUAUAUAGUGUGAAUAUUCCCUCAAAAAGCUUGAUUCUAGUGCAAAAUGAUCAAUAUGUAAAAUCCGAACAAGUAAUUGCGGAGAUUCGUGCCGGAACGUCCACUUUACAUUUUAAAGAAAGGGUACAAAAACAUAUUUAUUCCGAAUCAGACGGAGAAAUGCACUGGAGUACUGAUGUUUAUCAUGCGCCCGAAUAUCAAUAUGGUAAUCCUCGUCGAUUACCAAAAACAAGUCAUUUAUGGAUAUUGUCAGUAAGUAUGUGCAGAUCCAGUAUAGGGUCUUUUUCACUCCACAAGGAUCAAGAUCAAAUGAAUACUUAUGGUAAAAAAGAUAGGGAAAUUCUUGAUUCUUCAACGUCGAAUCGAAUAAUGUCCAACGGCCUUUGGAAUUUUAUCUAUCCUUCUAUUUUUCAAGAUAGUUCGGAUUUGUUGGCGAAAAAGCGAAGAAAUAGGCUCGCCAUUCCAUUACAAUAUCAUCAAGAACAAGAGAAAGAAUUCAUAUCCUGUUUGGGGAUUUCGAUUGAAAUACCUUUUAUGGGUGUUUUACGUAGAAAUACUAUUUUUGCUUAUUUUGAUGAUCCACAAUACAGAAAAGAUAAAAAGGGUUCAGGAAUUGUUAAAUUUAGAUAUAGGACCCUAGAAGACGAAUAUAGGAUUCGAGAGGAAUACUCAGAAGACAAAUAUGAGACCCUAGAAGACGAAUAUGAAACCCUAUAUAAAAAUGAGAUCCUACAGGACGAAUACGAAUAUGAAACCCUAGAAGACGCAUAUGGGAGCCCAGAGAACGAAUAUGGGAAUCCAGAGAACGAAUAUAGGACUUUAGAGAAAGAUUCAGAAGAUGAAUAUAGGAGCCCAGAGAGCAAAUAUAGGACCCGAGAGGACAAAUAUGGAACUCUAGAGGAAGACUCAGAAGACGAAUACGAGAGCCUGGGUGAAAGCUCAGAGGACAAAUAUGGGAGGACUUUAGAGGAAGACUCAGAAGAAGACUCAGAAGACGAAUAUGAGAGCCCAGAGGAGGAUUCCAUCUUAAAAAAGGAGGAUUUGAUUGAGCAUCAAGGAACAAAAGAAUUUAGUAUAAAAUACCAAAAAGAAGUAGAUCGGUUUUUUUUCAUUCUUCAAGAACUGCAUAUCUUGCCGAGAUCUUCAUCCCUAAAGGUAUGCGACAAUAGUAUUAUUGGGGUGGAUACACAACUCACAAAAAAUACAAGAAGUCGACUAGGUGGACUGGUCCGAGUGAAGAGAAAAAAAAGCCAUACGGAACUCAAAAUAUUUUCCGGAGAUAUUCAUUUUCCUGAAGAGGCGGAUAAGAUAUUAGGUGGCUGUUUGAUACCACCAGAAAGACAAAAAAAAGAUUCUAAGGAAUCAAAAAAAAGGCAAAAUUGGGUCUAUGUUCAACGGAAAAAAAUUAUCAAGAGCAAGGAAAAGUAUUUUGUUUCGGUUCGCCCUGCAGUCGCAUAUGAAAUCGACGGAGGGAUAAAUUUAGCAACACUUUUCCCACAGGAUCUCUUGCAAGAAGAAGAUAAUCUCCAACUUCGACUUGUCAAUUUUAUUUCUCAUGAAAAUAGCAAGUUAACUCAAAGAAUUUAUCAAACAACUAGUCAAUUUGUUAGAACUUGCUUAGUAGUGAAUUGGGAACAAGAAGAAAAAGAGGAGGCUGGUGCUUCCCUUGUCGGGGUAAGAGCGAAUGAUCUUAUUCGCCAUUUCCUAAGAAUUGAGUUAGUCAAGUCCACUAUUUCAUAUACACGAAAAAGGUAUGAUAGGACAAGUGUAGGGCCGAUCCCCCCUAAUGGGUUAGAUCGCACCAAUAAAAAUUCCUUUUAUUCCAAGGCAAAGAUUGAAUCACUUAGCCAAUAUCAAGAAACUAUUGGCACCUUGUUGAAUCGAAAUAAAGACUACCAAUCUUUGAUGAUUUUGUCAGCAUCCAACUGUUUUCGAAUUGGUUUAUUCAAGAAUUCAAAACAUCCCAAUGCAAUAAAAGAAUCGAAUCCUAAAAUUCCUAUUCGAGAUAUUUUCGGGCCCCUAGGGGCUAUUGUACCUAGUAUAUUGAAUUUUCCUUCAUCUUACUAUUUACUAACGCAUAAUCAGAGCCGGUUAAAAAAAUAUUUGUUGCUUGACAAUUUACAACAAACCUUCCAAGUACUUCAAGGACUUAAAUAUUCUUUAAUAGAUGAAAAUCAAAGGAUUUCUAAUUUCGAUAGUAAUCUCCUGUUGGAUACAUUCUUUUUGAAUUAUCACUUUGCCCAUCAUGAUUCUUGGGAGAACACAUUGGCAAUAAUUCACCUUGGACAAUUUAUUUGUGAAAAUGUAUGUUUAUUUAAAUCGCACAUAAAAAAAUCAGGUCAAAUUUUCAUUGUUAAUAUGGAUUCCUUUAUUAUAAGAGAAGCUAAACCUUAUUUGGCCACUACAGGGGCAACUGUUAAUGGUCAUUAUGGAGAAAUCCUUUACAAGGGAGAUAGGUUAGUUACGUUUAUAUAUGAAAAAUCGAGAUCGAGUGACAUAACGCAAGGUCUUCCAAAAGUGGAACAAAUCUUUGAAGCGCGUUCAAUCGAUUCAUUAUCUCCGAAUCUGGAAAGGAGAAUUGAGGAUUGGAAUGAGCGUAUACCAAGAAUUCUUGGUGUCCCUUGGGGAUUCUUGAUUGGAGCUGAGCUAACCAUAGCCCAAAGUCGUAUCUCUUUGGUUAAUAAAAUCCAAAAGGUUUAUCGAUCCCAAGGGGUACAGAUCCAUAAUAGACAUAUAGAGAUUAUUAUACGCCAAGUAACAUCAAAAGUGCGGGUUUCCGAAGAUGGAAUGUCUAAUGUUUUUUCACCUGGGGAGUUAAUUGGACUAUUACGAGCGGAACGAGCAGGACGAGCUUUGGAUGAAUCGAUCUAUUAUCGAGCAAUUUUAUUGGGAAUAACAAGAGCUUCCCUUAAUACCCAAAGUUUCAUAUCUGAAGCAAGUUUUCAAGAAACUGCUCGGGUUUUAGCAAAAGCUGCCCUACGAGGUCGUAUUGAUUGGUUGAAAGGCCUGAAAGAAAACGUAGUUCUGGGGGGAAUUAUACCUGUUGGUACUGGAUUCCAAAAAUUUGUGCAUCGUUCCCCACAAGACAAGAAUCUUUAUUUCGAAAUUAAAAAAAAAAAUAUAUUCGCGUCGGAAAUGAGAGAUUUUUUCUUUCUCCAUACAGAAUUAGUUUCUUCUGAUUCUGACGUAACAAACAAUUUCGAUGAGACAUCAGAACCCCCAUUUACCCCCAUUUAUACCAUUUAAGGAUACAUAAAGCAGAUUUUUUUUACUUUACCUUUACUAUACUUUUUUACUUUACUAUACUUUUGAACUUAGACUUAGAACACUAACAGGUAAAAUGUGAGAUUUUUAUUAAGUAAAAGAAGUCAGUUAAUUCAUUAAGGUUAUGUUUAUAUCAUGUAUGAAUAGCCAACUCUCAGUAGAAGGUUCCCUCGGAACAAUUAUUAUAUAUUUCAAGUUAUUUCGGAUCUUUCUUAAUCUUCAAAAAGAUAUUCCCUAAUGGAAUGGUAGGAUGAAAAAAAGAAAAAAUAAAAAGGAAGUGUGGAAAAAAUGACAAGAAGAUAUUGGAACAUCAAUUUGAAAGAAAUGAUAGAAGCGGGAGUUCAUUUUGGUCAUGGUAUUAAGAAAUGGAAUCCUAAAAUGGCCCCUUACAUUUCGGCAAAGCGUAAAGGUACUCAUAUUACAAAUCUCGCUAGAACGGCUCGUUUUUUAUCAGAAGCUUGUGAUUUAGUUUUUGAUGCAGCAAGUCAGGGAAAAAGUUUCUUAAUUGUUGGUACCAAAAAAAGAGCAGCGGAUUUAGUAGCAUCAGCUGCAAUAAGGGCUCGUUGUCAUUAUGUUAAUAAAAAGUGGUUCAGUGGUAUGUUAACGAAUUGGUCAAUUACGAAAACUAGACUUUCUCAAUUUAGAGACUUAAGAGCAGAAGAAAAGAUGGGAAAAUUCCACCAUCUCCCAAAAAGAGAUGUGGCAAUCUUGAAAAGAAAAUUAUCUACCUUGCAAAGAUAUCUCGGCGGGAUCCAAUAUAUGACGAGGUUGCCAGACAUUGUGAUCGUCCUUGAUCAGCAAAAAGAGUAUAUAGCUCUUCGGGAAUGUGCCAUUUUGGGGAUUCCUACUAUUUCUUUAGUUGAUACAAAUUGUGACCCAGAUCUCGCGAAUAUAUCGAUUCCAGCCAACGAUGACACUAUGACUUCAAUUCGAUUGAUUCUUAACAAAUUAGUAUUUGCUAUUUGUGAGGGCCGUUCUCUCUAUAUAAGAAACCUUUAAUUAAGAAGAAUAGUGAAUUCUUGGGCAACUCCAUAGAUUUCUGGAAUCACUUACUAUUCUUUUUUGUUUUGCAUAGAUAAAAGAAGGGGAAUAUUGAUAUAUAUUAGAGGGUAUUGAUAUAUAUUAUGAUCUGAUGUGCUUUCUUAGUACCCUAAAUAUAACAUUAAUACUUCAAGUUGCUGAGUUGAGAAAGAGAUGGUUGAAUCAAAACAAUACCUUUUUUGAAGUUCAAUUUUUAUCAGAGGACAAUAUGAAUAUUAUACCUUGUUCCAUUAAAACACUCAAGGGGUUAUACGAUAUAUCAGGUGUAGAAGUAGGCCAACACUUCUAUUGGCAAAUAGGAGGUUUCCAAAUUCAUGCCCAAGUACUCAUCACUUCUUGGGUCGUAAUUACUAUCUUGCUAGGUUCAGUUCUCAUAGCUGUUCGGAAUCCACAAACCAUCCCGACCGACGGUCAGAAUUUCUUUGAAUAUAUUCUUGAGUUUAUUCGAGACUUGAGCAAAACUCAGAUUGGAGAGGAAUAUGGUCCCUGGGUUCCUUUUAUUGGAACUAUGUUCCUUUUUAUUUUUGUUUCGAAUUGGUCGGGUGCUCUUUUACCUUGGAAAAUUAUAGAGUUACCCCACGGGGAAUUAGCAGCGCCCACGAAUGAUAUAAAUACUACUGUUGCUUUAGCUUUACUCACGUCAGCGGCAUAUUUUUAUGCGGGUCUUAGCAAAAAAGGAUUGAGCUAUUUCGAGAAAUAUAUUAAACCAACCCCAAUCCUUUUACCAAUCAACAUCCUGGAAGAUUUCACAAAACCAUUAUCGCUUAGCUUUCGACUUUUCGGGAAUAUAUUGGCAGAUGAAUUAGUCGUUGUUGUUCUUGUUUCUUUAGUCCCCUUAGUAGUCCCUAUACCAGUCAUGUUUCUUGGAUUAUUUACAAGCGGUAUUCAAGCUCUUAUUUUUGCAACAUUAGCCGCAGCUUAUAUAGGUGAAUCUAUGGAGGGUCAUCAUUGAAUUGACUAGUUUUGGAAAUAGUCUUUUUUUCCGCUUAGCUCAAUUCAUGCAUGGUUCCAGAUAAUCCGCUUGGUUGCAAAAAAUUGUUAGAAAUGCGUAUGAAUAUACAACUUAGAGUUGUAGGACUUAGAAUCCGAUUCAAUAGAAAAUGAGAAAAUACGCAAACCAAAUAGAAGAAACAGAUGUAUAUAGGAUAUUAUAUAUUCCUAAAUUAGAUUGAUUAUCUAAUCCGAUCUAUCGAAUUCCCUCUAUGUAGUUCGGACAAUUCACAUUAUCUUUUCAAUUUGUACUUUUUAGUUACUUCUCCCCAAUAGAGCUUAGAAGUAAGAAUUUCUUGGUUGAUUGUAUCCUUAACCAUUUCUUUUUUUUGACACGAGGAACUCACCAUGAAUCCAUUAAUUGCUGCUGCUUCUGUUAUUGCUGCUGGAUUGGCCGUAGGGCUUGCUUCUAUUGGGCCUGGGGUUGGUCAAGGUACUGCUGCCGGACAAGCUGUAGAAGGUAUUGCGAGACAGCCAGAAGCAGAAGGUAAAAUACGAGGUACUUUAUUGCUUAGUCUAGCUUUUAUGGAAGCUUUAACAAUUUAUGGACUAGUUGUGGCACUAGCGCUUUUAUUUGCGAACCCUUUUGUUUAAUCGAAAAAAUAAAAUAAGUUCUUUCGAUUAGAUACUUUGUUUCUUUUUUUAGUCAAUUGUUAUUUGUUUCUGGAAUUCCAAUUAUAUCAAUACCUUAUUUAAUUUACUCCUAUUUAUUAUUCCGGGAAUUUUUUAUUUAUCGAGACAGACAAUAUCCCACCCAGGAAGGGCUGAGUUGAGUAUGAUUAAUUUAUAGUAUAUGCUCGCCUUCUUCCUUCCCAUCCUUAGUUUAGGAAAGUGGAAAGUCCUUUUCCUUUUAUUUAAGGAAGUCUUUCACAGGUCAAACGAGACCUAAGACUUAAUCUAAAAUAAAUUACUAGAUUGAAUCUAUUUGCAUUAAAAAAACCGAUCAAAAAAGGGCGAGCGAAGCAAGUGAUCAAAAACUUUGUUCGUCCUAUCUAUAAGAGGAGAGCAUAUGAAAAAUGUAACCCAUUCUUUCGUUUUUUUAGCUCACUGGCCAUCCGCUGGCAGUUUCGGGCUUAAUACCGAUAUUUUAGCAACAAAUCUAAUAAAUCUAACUGUAGUGGUUGGUGUUUUGAUUUUUUUUGGAAAGGGAGUGUGUGCGAGUUGUCUAUUUCAAGAAUAGGUUGGAUCUAUCCGACUGCACUUUAGAAUAUUUCGUAGUAUUUUUCGGAUAAAUAAGGGUGCGCAAUCUCGACGAAUUACUUCUGAAUAAAUUCAGAAAUCAUAUGGAAGAACCAUAGCAUUUCGCGACUCGUUGGUAAAUCAACUUUGAUUCUCUAUAAACCAAUUAAUGUGAGACUAUUAACACGGUUAAAGCUAAACUGCUUGAAGUCCAGGCAAAAAGGGGUACUCUUUCUACACCUAUAUUAGUAUUAGUACCGAAAUGCUUUAAACGGGAAAUAGCUAAUGUAGAAUUUAUCUGAUAUAGAACACUCAUAUCGAUAAAAUGGUUUGAACUAUUUACUAGAAAAAAGGAGGCACCCUGCCCUUUUUUAUCGAAUGCCGAAUCGACAACCUAUGUAUAAAAUAAAAAAAGAGAAAUUUUUUGGAUUUGAAGAAAAAAAAGACUUCGAUUCAUUUUCUAUUUAUUUCGUUAGUUUUUCUUAAUGAAAUUGAAAUUCUUAAGUAAAGUGCAAAUACAAAUAAAGAAACAACUUUGCUGACCAUGAUAGAUUUUUAUCUAGGCGGAAGAGUCCUCUUAAUAUUUAUCUAAUCUUAUAUAGGUUUCAGUAUAUUGAAAUAGAAAGAUAAAAUAGAAGAGAGAGGAUAGGCUCAUUACUUAAAAAAAAGAUAUGGAAAUAGCCAUAGCAAAAAAAGAAAAAAGGAGCGUGAGAGCCAAAUGAAUCGAAAGAUUCAUGUUUGGUUCGGGAAGAGAUCAUAAAAGUUGUAAACUUAAUAGCAAGAUAAUCUACUUUCAUUAAAAGAUUUAUUAGAUAAUCGAAAACAGAGGACCUUGAGUACUAUUCGAAAUUCGGAAGAAUUGCGUAGAGGGACCUUUGAGCAGCUCGAAAAAGCUCGGAUUCGAUUACAGAAAGUCGAACUAGAAGCGGAUGAGUAUCGAAUGAAUGGAUACUCUGAGAUAGAACGAGAAAAAGAAAAUUUGAUUAAUGCUACUUCUAUUAGUUUGGAACAAUUAGAAAAGUCUAAAAACGAAACCCUUUAUUUUGAAAAACAAAGGGCAAUGAAUCAGGUCCGACAACGGGUUUUCCAGCAGGCCGUACAAGGAGCUCUAGGAACUCUGAAUAGUUGUUUGAAUACCGAGUUACAUUUCCGUACGAUUCGUGCUAAUAUUGGCAUUCUCGGGUCCAUGGAAUGGAAGAGAUAAUGAAAUUAAUAAGGCCUUGAGCUUCUACUUUCGUUUAGAAUUUAGGCAUUAUUUUUCCCCUUAGCUUCCGAAAAAAAAGAGUCAAGAAACACUAAUGGCAACUCUUCGAGUCGACGAAAUUCAUAAAAUUCUCCGUGAACGUAUUGAACAAUAUAAUAGGAAAAUAGGGAUUGAGAAUAUAGGUCGCGUAGUUCAAGUGGGGGAUGGGAUUGCUCGUAUUAUAGGUCUUGGUCAAAUAAUGUCACGUGAAUUAGUCGAAUUUGCAGAAGGCACUAGGGGUAUUGCUCUUAAUUUGGAAUCCAAAAAUGUUGGGAUUGUAUUAAUGGGCGAUGGGUUGAUGAUACAAGAGGGAAGUUUUGUAAAAGCAACAGGAAGAAUUGCUCAGAUACCCGUGAGCGAGGCUUACUUGGGUCGUGUUAUAAAUGCUCUGGCUAAACCUAUAGAUGGGAGAGGUGAAAUUAUAGCUUCGGAAUCUCGCUUAAUUGAAUCCCCUGCUCCAAGUAUAAUUUCCAGGCGUUCCGUAUAUGAACCCCUUCAAACAGGGCUUAUUGCUAUCGAUUCGAUGAUCCCUAUAGGGCGCGGUCAGCGAGAGUUAAUUAUUGGGGACAGACAGACUGGCAAAACAGCAGUAGCCACAGAUACAAUUCUCAAUCAAAAAGGGCAAGAUGUAAUAUGUGUUUAUGUAGCUAUUGGUCAAAGAGCAUCCUCCGUGGCUCAAGUAGUAACUACUUUCCAUGAGGAGGGAGCCAUGGAAUACACUAUUGUAGUUGCUGAAAUGGCGGAUUCACCUGCUACAUUACAAUACCUCGCUCCUUAUACAGGAGCCGCCCUGGCUGAGUAUUUUAUGUACCGCGAACGGCAUACUUUAAUAAUUUAUGAUGAUCUCUCCAAACAGGCACAAGCUUAUCGCCAAAUGUCCCUUUUAUUAAGAAGACCUCCCGGCCGUGAAGCUUAUCCAGGGGAUGUUUUUUAUUUGCAUUCACGCCUUUUAGAAAGAGCCGCUAAAUUAAAUUCUCUUUUAGGCGAAGGAAGUAUGACCGCUUUACCAAUAGUUGAGACUCAAUCUGGAGACGUUUCUGCCUAUAUUCCUACUAAUGUAAUCUCCAUUACAGAUGGACAAAUAUUCUUAUCCGCGGAUCUAUUCAAUGCCGGAAUUCGACCUGCUAUUAAUGUGGGUAUUUCUGUUUCCAGAGUAGGAUCCGCGGCUCAAAUUAAAGCCAUGAAACAAGUAGCUGGCAAAUCAAAAUUGGAACUAGCUCAAUUCGCAGAGUUACAAGCCUUUGCACAAUUCGCCUCUGCUCUCGAUAAAACAAGUCAGAAUCAAUUGGCAAGGGGGCGACGAUUAAGGGAAUUGCUUAAACAAUCCCAGGCAAACCCUCUCCCAGUGGAAGAGCAGAUAGCUACUAUUUAUACCGGAACGAGAGGAUAUCUUGAUUCGUUAGAAAUUGAACAGGUAAAUAAAUUUCUAGGUGAGUUACGUAAAAACCUAAAAGAUACUAAACCUCAAUUCAAAGAAAUUAUAUCUUCUAGCAAGACAUUCACCGAGCAAGCGGAAAUCCUUUUGAAGGAAGCUAUUCAGGAACAGCUCGAACGGUUUUCCCUUCAGGAACAAACAUAAAUUUAGCAUGUCUACUCUUGUUAGUAGAAGAGGAAUUGUUGAGAAAAUUUUUUGAUUUAAAUCAUCAAAAAAUUUUUUCUUAGUUUUUAAUAUAGUUAUUUAAAGAAUAGAUAGAAAUAAGAUUGCGUCCAAUAGGAUUUGAACCUAUACCAAAGGUUUAGAAGACCUCUGUCCUAUCCAUUAGACAAUGGACGCUUUUCAUUAGUAUUUUUUAGACAAUGGACGCUUUUCAUUAGUAUUUUCUUGUUCCGAGAAAAAACUGUUAGAACGAAACUCUUUUAGGAAAUAAAAAAACCCAUAUACAAAUGCUAGUGGGAAUCGAACCCACAACCCCAAGGUUAUGAGACUUGUGAGCUACCAGACUCCUCUAUCCUCUUAAACUAAAGAGGGGAGGGUAGAACUAGUGGAUAAAAGAGUGUUGGAUACGCCCCUCUACCAUAUCCAUACAAAUAGAAUAGUCCAUUUAUACAGAAUGGUAAAGAGGGCUGUUCUACGAUCAUCAAUUCAAGAAAUCCAUACAAAUACGAAAGGGUAUUUUAUCCUUACCAACUGGAUCUUGUUGCACCCGGUAACAAACAUUCAUAAACCAUUUCUCGAAGUACGUGCCCGGAUAGCCCAAAAUCUCGAUAGUUAGCUCUAGGUCUUCCAGUCAAAAAACAACGUCGAUGAAGGCGUGUAGGUGCACUAUUACGUGGUAGGGAUUGCAAUUUUUCUCGCAUUUUCGUUUUUUCACUCAAACUCAAGGGGGAAACUUUGCUUCUUAUCUUUUUUUUUAAAGAUUGGCGAAUCAAAUGAUAUUUUUGUUCUAAUUUCUGCCGCUUCUUUUCCCUCUGAAUCAAACUUUUUUUUGCCAUAAUGUCCUGUUACUAUUAUUCACAAAUAUACAGUUCUAAUCCUAGAUGGAAAAAUAAAUAGAAAAAAAUCUAAGAAGGCGGAUCCUCCCUCUCUAUCAAGAGUAAUGAACUAGGUGCUAAUACAGUACAAAAAAAACUAACUAAAUUAACCAAACUUACCUGAUGUUGAGGCAAUCAAGAAAGCUGCAUAAGUGAAUAUAUAACCCACAGAAAAGUGGGCUAAUCCAACCAAUCUUGCUUGCACAAUGGAAAGAGCCACGGGCUUAUCUCUCCAGCGAAUUAAAUUAGCCAAAGGUGUGCGUUCAUGAGCCCAUGCUAAAGUCUCAAUUAAUUCCUGCCAAUAUCCACGCCAGGAAAUUAAGAACAUAAAUCCAGUAGCCCAAACAAGAUGUCCAAAUAAGAACAUCCACGCCCAUACCGAUAAACUAUUCAUCCCAAAAGGAUUAUAUCCAUUUAUAAGUUGUGAAGAAUUUAACCAUAGGUAAUCUCUUAACCAUCCCAUCAAAUAAGUGGAGGAUUCAUUAAAUUGUGAAACGUUGCCCUGCCAUAAUGUGAUAUGUUUCCAAUGCCAAUAAAAAGUAACCCAUCCAAUAGUAUUUAACAUCCAGAAAACUGCCAAAUAAAACGCGUCCCAAGCAGAAAUAUCACAAGUACCGCCGCGUCCUGGACCGUCACAAGGAAAACUAUACCCAAAAUCCUUUUUAUCCGGCAUUAAUUUGGAACCGCGUGCAUCUAAAGCACCCUUUACUAAAAUCAAUGUAGUUGUAUGCAAACCUAGAGCAAUAGCAUGAUGAACCAAGAAAUCCCCAGGUCCUAUUGUUAAGAAAAGCGAAUUACUAUUCUCAUUAACAGCAUUCAACCAUCCGGGCAACCAUAGGCUUCGACCUGCAUUGAAAGCGGGGCCAUUCGUUGAAGAUAAGAGUAUAUCGAACCCAUAUGUCGUCUUGCCAUGAGCAGAUUGUAUCCAUUGGGCAAAUAUAGGUUCGAUCAAGAUUUGCUUUUCUGGAGUACCAAAAGCAAGCAUGACGUCGUUAUGAACAUAAAGGCCCAAGGUAUGGAAUCCUAGAAAGAGGCUAGCCCAACUUAAAUGAGAUAUGAUAGCUUCUUUAUGGUCUAACAUUCUUGCCAAUACAUUAUCCUCAUUCUGUUCUGGAUUGUAAUCCCUAAUGAAAAAGAUAGCUCCAUGAGCAAAAGCCCCUGUCAUGAUGAACCCUGCAAUAUAUUGGUGAUGAGUAUAUAAAGCAGCUUGAGUAGUAAAGUCUUGCGCUAUGAAUGCAUAAGCAGGUAAAGAGUACAUAUGUUGAGCUACUAAGGAAGUAAUAACCCCUAAAGAAGCUAGAGCAAGACCUAAUUGAAAAUGAAUCGAAUUAUUGAUUGUGUCGUAAAGGCCCUUAUGCCCCCGCCCUAAUCGACCCCCCGGAGGAGUAUGCGCUUCUAAAAGAUCUUUGAUACUGUGUCCAAUUCCGAAGUUAGUUCGAUACAUGUGACCGGCAAUGAGAAAAAUAAAUGCAAUAGCUAAAUGAUGGUGCGCAAUAUCGGUCAGCCACAAACUUUGUGUUUGUGGAUGGAAUCCACCAAGAAGAGUUAGAAUGGCAGUUCCCGCUCCUUGAGUGGUACCAAAUAAAUGGUUACUCGAAUCAGGGUUUUGGGCAUAAAGAUUCCACUGGCCCGUCAAAAGGGGCCCCAACCCCUGGGGAUAGGGUAAUACAUCUAAGAAAUUAUUCCAUCGAACGUACUCCCCCCUGGAUGCGGGAAUAGCAACAUGAAUUAAAUGUCCUGUCCAAGCUAAAGAACUUACCCCGAAAAGUCCUGACAAAUGAUGAUUGAGACGAGAUUCCGUGUUUUUGAACCACGAAAGACUUGGUUUCCAUUUGGGUUGUAGAUGUAACCAACCCGCUAUUAAAGAUAGCGUAGAAAGAAAUAAUAGAAAAAGAGCUCCAGUAUAAAGAUCUUCAUUCGUGCGUAAUCCUAUUGUAUACCACCACUGAUAAACCCCAGAAUAGGCGAUAUUCACUGGACCGGCAGCACCUCCUCGAGUAAAGGCUUCCACAGCGGGUUGACCAAAAUGAGGAUCCCAAAUCGCAUGAGCAAUAGGUCUUACGUGUAAAGGAUCCUGUAUCCAUGAUUCAAAAUUUCCUUGCCAAGCUACAUGAAACAGAUUUCCGGACGUCCAUAGAAAGAUUAUUGCUAACUGCCCAAAGUGAGAAGCAAAAAUGUUCUGAUAAAGACGUUCCUCAGUAAUAUCAUCAUGACUUUCGAAAUCAUGUGCGGUAGCAAUACCAAACCAAAUACGACGAGUAGUGGGGUCCUGAGCUAAGCCUUGGCUAAACCUGGGAAAUCUUAAUUCCAUAAUGCCUUUCAAAUCCUCCUAGCCACUAUCCUACUGCAAUAAUUCUCGCUAAGAAGAAUGCCCAUGUUGUGGCAAUUCCACCUAGAAGGUAAUGGGUUACUCCUACAGCACGUCCUUGUAUAAUGCUCAAGGCUCUAGGCUGAGUAGCAGGAGCAACUUUUAAUUUGUUAUGAGCCCAAACGAUAGAUUCAAUAAGUUCUUGCCAAUAACCACGGCCGCUGAAUAAAAACAUUAAACUGAAGGCCCAGACAAAAUGAGCACCUAAGAAAAAAAGACCAUAUGCAGAUAAUGAAGAACCAUAAGACUGAAUUACUUGCGAUGCCUGUGCCCACAAGAAAUCUCGAAGCCACCCAUUAAUCGUAAUGGAACUCUGUGCAAAGUUCCCCCCUGUGAUAUGAGUUACCACCCCUUGAUCACUUAUAGUACCCCAAACAUCCGAUUGCAUUUUCCAACUGAAAUGGAAAAUGACUACCGAAAUUGCAUUGUACAUCCAGAAUAAACCUAAGAAAACAUGAUCCCAAGCAGAUACUUGACAUGUUCCGCCUCGCCCAGGCCCAUCGCAAGGAAAGCGAAAACCGAGAUUUGCUUUAUCGGGUAUCAAACGGGAACUGCGAGCAAAUAAAACACCUUUCAAAAGUAUUAAUACAGUCACAUGGAUGGUAAAUGCGUGAAUGUGAUGGACUAAAAAAUCUGCAGUUCCUAAUGGAAUAGGUAACAAAGCCACUUUGCCGCCUACUGCUACUAACUCGCCACCUCCCCACGUUAAACUGGUACUUGUUGUUGCACCAGGAGCUGUUACACCAGGCGCGUUAGCAUGGAUAUUUUGUACCCAUUGAGCAAAGAUAGGUUGUAAUUGUAUGGCAGUAUCCGAAAACAUAUCUUGCGGACGUCCUAAAGCACUCAUGGUAUCAUUAUGAAUGUACAAACCAAAACUGUGAAAACCUAGAAAUAUACAUACCCAGUUAAGGUGGGAUAUGAUUGCAUCACGGUGUCUAAGGACGCGAUCUAAUAGAUCAUUGUAUCGAGUAGUUGGAUCAUAGUCUCUUACCAUAAAAAUUGCUGCAUGUGCAGCAGCACCGACUAUUAGAAAUCCGCCAAUCCACAUGUGGUGUGUGAACAAGGAAAGUUGUGUACCAUAGUCAGUAGCUAGGUAUGGAUAGGGGGGCAUAGAGUACAUAUGAUGAGCUACAACAAUGGUUGUCGAGCCUAGCAUAGCUAGGUUAAGAGCUAAUUGAGCAUGCCAUGAUGUUGUUAAGAUUUCAUAGAGACCCUUAUGGCCUUGUCCUGUAAAUGGGCCUUUGUGAGCUUCCAAAAUAUCUUUAAGUCCAUGGCCAAUACCCCAGUUGGUCCUAUACAUAUGACCUGCAAUUAGGAAAAGAAUAGCAAUAGCUAAGUGAUGGUGCGCAAUAUCGGUCAGCCAUAGACCACCGGUUACUGGAUCUAGUCCUCCGCGAAAAGUAAGAAAUUCUGCGUAUUUGGACCAAUUUAAGGUGAAAAAAGGGGUUGCUCCUUCGGCAAAACUAGGAUAAAGUUGAGCCAAAAGGUCGCGAUUCAAGAUAAAUUCAUGAGGAAGUGGUAUCUCUUUAGGAUCAACCCCGGCGUCAAGAAAUUGGUUAAUUGGUAAAGAUACAUGAAUUUGGUGUCCCGCCCAAGAAAGAGACCCAAGUCCUAAUAAUCCCGCUAAGUGGUGAUUCAACAUGGAUUCUACAUCUUGGAACCAGGCCAAUUUUGGAGCGGCUUUGUGAUAAUGGAACCAACCAGCAAAAAGCAUUAACGAUGCAAAAAUCAAUGCACCAAUUGCAGUACAAUAAAGUUGUAAUUCACUAGUUAUUCCAGAGGCUCGCCAAAUCUGAAAAAACCCAGAGGUUAUUUGGAUUCCUCGGAAACCCCCGCCUACAUCACCAUUCAAUAUUUCUUGCCCUACUAUUGGCCAAACUACCUGAGCACUGGGUCCAAUGUGAGUAGGAUCACUUAGCCAUGCUUCAUAAUUGGAAAAACGGGCACCAUGGAAGUACAUGCCACUCAACCAAAGAAAGAUAAUGGAGAGUUGCCCGAAAUGAGCACUAAAGACUUUUCGAGAGAUCUCCUCCAAAUCACCCGUAUGACUAUCGAAAUCGUGAGCAUCAGCAUGUAGGUUCCAGAUCCAAGUGGUAGUAUCAGGGCCCUUAGCUAGUGUUUUUGAGAAAUGGCCGGGUCUGGCCCAUUCCUCAAAAGAUGUUUUUACAGGAUCCCUAUCCACAAUAAUUUUUACUUCUGGUUCCGGCGAACGAAUAAUCAUUAAGUCCUCCUCUUUCCGGACAAGACAUAUAAAGAGACCUGCCAACUGUCUUUUUAGUGAAUCUUUGAAAGAUAGAUUUUGAAAGAUAGAUAUUAUGAUUAGUUCUUUUCUUUACUAUCUACCGUCCUUCUAUUUUUUUAUAGUUAUUCACUGGAGCAAUUAUAUAUUGAAGUCAAUCCUAGGCAAGUGUUCGGAUCUAUUAUGACAUAAGGAUUAGGUGCCUAACGGACAUUAUAUAUCUUGAAAAAAAAAAUAUAUAUAUAUAUGUAUAUAUUUCCCGAUGUAAGAAAAAAAUCUUUUUAAAAUUUAAUAAACUGGUGUAUUUUUUUUUGAGAGUAUAAGCUCCUAUCUACAUCUACUUUCCUUGAGCGUAAUAUAGGAUUUUUUAUUUGAUUCUAAAUUCCAAGAUAACUCAUUAGAAUUAUUUAAGAAUUAAUAAGAUGGUCUUGAUAUAUUAGCAGUAUUUAGAUUGCCCCUCUUUUUAUUCGCUUUAUUACUUCUAUUCUAGAUCCUAUCCCUCUGGUUUAUCCUUAUAAAAUCUCAUAUAAAAUAGAAGGUAGAAGAAAGACGAACGGGAUAUAAUGAAAUUCUUGAUUCGAUCUUACGACCUAAUUUAUAUGAAAAAGGAACGUGGUCUUAUUCAAAUUCAAAGCGCUUCGUAAUCUUCAACCAGUUCUGUGCUUCAAUAUAAUUUCCCGGAGUAAGCGCUAUAGCUUGUUUCCAAUACUCAGCAGCUUGAUCAAACCAAGCUUCUGCAAUUUCUGAAUCACCCUGUAGAAUGGCCUGUUCUCCUCGGUCGGAAUAGGCAGUUCCUUCCCCUAGAACCGUACUUGAGAGUUUCCUACCUCAUACGGCUCAGAAAUUGCUAUCUUAAUUUCCCCUAUCUUAACUGAAUUCGAUUUUUGAAAAAUCGAUCCAAUUUGUUUUUGGGUUAAGCAGAAGAAGUUAAUUACCUAAGUUUCAAACCCUAAUUUUUAUAACUAAUCAGUUUGAUCUUUUUUCCCACCUUCAGAAGAAUGAAGCAUAGAUAGAUCGAGAGCUUUUGUUCGAAUUUUCUGAAAAGUAACUAUCCCGGUUUCAUAUAUGAAAUCCCUAUAGAAUCCUUGAAAAAGACUUUUUCCCAUAAGAUAAGAAAGAAAAAAGAACUUACUAUCUUUGGGAUCUGAUACUACACCGCUGCUUAAUCCCUUAGUGGAUCGGCUCUAUUACAUAAGCAGAUUCCUAAACUUUGCCCCAUAUCAUGGGAUAAGUAAGCAGUUUUUUUUAGUUGUAUCGACCAAGUCGCUCACUAAUUGAUCUUUACGGUGCUUUCUCUAUCAAUUUGAGAACUUUAUCCAUAGAGUAGUAGUAUAGGCCAUACUUUCUUCCUUUUUUGAUUCUCGUGAAGUGUCUUUCCUUCCUACAGCUGAUAGGGAAAAAUCGUUGUUUUUACGACCCCUAUGUAGAAAGACCCUUUUGUCUAGUAUUUACUAGAAAAUUUGAUUCUUUCUUUUUUUCUUUCUAUAGUGGAGAUAGUCGCACGUAAUGACAGAUCACGGCCAUAUUAUUAAAAGCUUGCGGUAAGAAGGGGUUUCGCUCUAGUGCCCGGAAAUAAUAUUCCAAAGCCUUUGUAUGCUCUCCAUUGCUUGUGUGUAUAAGGCCUAUGUUAUAGAGUAUAUAACUUCGAUCGUAGGGAUCGAUUUCUAGUCGCGUAGCUUCAUAAUAAUUUUGCAAAGCUUCCGCAUAAUUUCCUUCGGAUUGAGCCAACAUCCGUUACGGUCGUUCAUUCUAUUCAAAAAAUCUCCGUUCCAAAACCGUACAUGAGGUUUUCAUCUCAUACGGCUCCUCCCUUCUGUACAUAGUACUAAGCGAAAUAAUCUAUAGAAUCAAAUUAGUCCCGUCUCAUUAUGGACCGAAAGGGGCUGGUAUUUUUCCAAGAAAUCUCUAGCCAACCUUCCCGCAAGAGGUUUUUCCUAACACCAAUGAAUUCUAUGAAUUCUAUUAAUGCUAGAGGAAAAUCAUAGCUCCAAGAAUUUCUUUGUUCUCAACGCCUUCUAUUUAGAGGAAUUAGCCACUUCAACGAUCUUUGAUGGUUAUAGGGGUAUCCAAAGUACAAACCUGAUGGUUGUUUAUUAUCCCAACCAUUCUUCCCAGCCCUGAUAUCGAUCAGGAAAGGGUUAAUUUAUAACAAAGUUUUUCUCUUGUUGAUUCCUAUUUUUAGGUGUAGUGCUUUUCUCCCCUAUGUGCUGCCUAUUGGUACUAAUAGAGUAGGAUUGGCCUGUAAUCCAUAACCUAUCCUGUUAGGUGUAACCUUUCGCUCAAUACUUAAAUCUACAAUUGAAGCAUCUGAGGCCGCAUCAAUCGAGGAUACACGAUAGAAGGAAUUGUUAAUUAACCUCACCUUCCCAAAGCGUGGGUUUGCUUUACUAAUUUUGUUCUCUCUAUGCGAACCCCCUCUCCUUAUCAGAAGACUGAGGUGUAGGUAGGGCUAAAAAAAACAAAAAAAAAGAGUCAAAUCGCACCAUCUCUAUAAUAAGUAAAUGCCCUUUUUUCCCCUGAGGUUGUUGGAAUUAUUCGCAAUAAAAUAUUGGCUACAAUUGAGGAGGUCUUAUCAAUGAAAUUUCCAUUUACACGGGAUCUAGGCAUAAUUCCCAACCCAUUCUAUGAUAAAAUUGUUUUCAUUCCUUCACAAAAUAACAUAAAAACAAACACAUUUGAUUCUUAUAACUAGAUCGAUCCAUAUGCUCUAAAUCGAUAAGAGAGGUAUGGAUUUUCCGCUCAGCUUUAAUUUUUUCCUUUUCUUUCUGUUUGGACAAGAAGAUAUAUUAAAUAUUUGACUAAGACUGGGUUUGAUUCUACUUUCCUAUUUCUCAACAACAACUUCGCUCAUCAGCUAUUUCGUGUUUUCAAAGUUAUUAAUUGUCUCAUACCUUAUUUUCGAUUUCGAUAGUCUGGUGUAGCGUACCUUAUGCAAACAGAAUUCUAAGGUUUCUUUAUUUUAUUAUGCAAUAAGAAGAAUUCUUCCAUUCUCUUUUUCUUUGGUUUUAGGAAAAUCCAAACUAAAACUUUUAUAGGGGAAGCAAUUCCUAGUAAAAAAAUCCUGGAUCCUUCCACUUAACUUAGAUCAAAAGGAAUUUUUCCAAUAGAACUAUGGAACCCCUGAGCGGUUGUACUUGUACUGCAGGAAUAGGAAAACUCGCUAUUUACUCAGUUUAUUUGCCAUAAUGAGUUAUGUGGGAGAGAUGGCCGAGCGGUUCAAGGCGUAGCAUUGGAACUGCUAUGUAGACUUUUGUUUACCGAGGGUUCGAAUCCCUCUCUUUCCGUUUUUCUUAAUUCAUCAACGUUAAGGAGCACAGUGUAUCAAAUCAAAUAACAAUUUAUUCCAGCAAUAAUACCCUUACCCUUAUUUAAUAGAAAUUCUCUAUAGCAAAUUACUGUGGUAUGUAAAAAUACACAUAGAGAAAAGAACAAAAAAGAAAAAAGGAUCCUCGGGUUAAUCCAUUUUUGCUAGUUGAGUAGGAAAAUACGAAUUAGGGCCUUAGGUCGAUUUAGUUCGGGAAAAGGGGAAGAAAAUUCUAUGAACCUUUCCUUUUUUCGUUAAGUUCAAGUCUGACGAGAGUAAUAUUCUACAACUAACAACUCAUUUAUUUUGAGACCUACCCACUUCCUAUCUAGGAUUUUAUUUACUAGUCCUUUAUAUUCCAAUGUGUCAAUCGUCAAAUGCUUUGGCAAUUUUCCCGGGUCGGAUGAAGCAAUAGAAUUUUGAACCAGACUUUGUGAUCUUUGGUUAUCUUUCGUAGUAAUAAUAUCUCGAGGUUUGCAACGAAAACUUGGUAUAUUAACUAUACGACCAUUAACCAAAAUAUGUCUAUGGUUGACUAAUUGGCGGGCCCCAGGAAUGGUUGCCGCCAUACCCAAUCGAAAAAGGAUAUUAUCCAAACGCAUUUCAAGUAAUUGUAGUAAAACCUGACCUGUGGACCUUUUUGCUUUUCCAGCGAUAUGUACAUAUCUAAGUAAUUGUCGUUCUGUCAGACCAUAAUGAAAACGCAAUUUCUGUUUUUCUUGAAGACGAAUACGAUAUUGCUCCUUUUUCCCAGAAUGGAAUUUCUUUUUCAGAUUACUUCCGGAUUUAGGUGUUUUUCUAGUGAGUCCUGGUAAAGCUCCCAGACGGCGUAUUUUUUUUAAACGAGGUCCUCGAUAACGGGACAUGAAGACUCCUUUUUUAUUUUAUUGAAAUUUCAUUUUACACAAUUAAUUUCAUUGUAUUUACAUUACGGAAUACAUCGAAAUUAAAACUGAAUUAAACUAAAGGAUAAACAGAGUAAAAUCAACUAAAGUACCAUAAAAAAUAGAAUUUCAUCAACAUCUGGAUUUUUUGUAUAUAUAUUAUUUAUUUUAUUCUUUUGUAUCUAGCAAAAUUGUAAGGUAGAAAACAAAAAAGAUCCUGGAUUCCCCAUUUAAUCCGAAAAAAAAAAGAGAUUCUUGUUCGUAGAACAUCGAUAACGAAAAAAAAGCCGACUAUCGGAUUUGAACCGAUGACCCUCGCAUUACAAAUGCGAUGCUCUAACCUCUGAGCUAAGUGGGCUUAGAUAGCAGAAAUAGUGUAACAAAUAGAAAUAGGUAUAGUAUAGAAAUCCGUAAAAUCUGAGAUCUUAGUUAUUAAUCUUAGCUAUUAACUAGUUCUCAAUUUGAAGUUCUACUUAAAAAAAUACUAGAACUUUUUAAAGAUAAAGUUAGCUUGAUAUGCUUAACUAGAGGAUAUCCUUAAAUAAAAGUAUAGAAUUUAUUGAACUUUCUUUUUAUUUCUCUAAUUCGCAAAUCUUUUUUCUAAGAGUUGAUUCCAAUUUCUAUAUUGAAUUUGAUUUCAGAUAUUUUCAAUUUGAUAUAGCUCGGACGAAUAAUCUAAUACAUAGAAAAGAAAUAUAUAUAUAUAUUAUGAAAUAUAUUAAAGAUAUAAUAAUAUAUAUAUAUUAAAGAAAUAAUAAGGGGAAAAUACGAAUUUAUUGGUGUUUUCAUUCGAUCAUUAUAGACAUUUUUUUAGAUCUUUUUUUAUUUGUUAAUAAUUUGAGGAUUCCUAUUUCUCUAAGGAGAACAUAAAGUCAUAGCAAAUAAAAUUGCCAAUUUUGAGUAGAAAAAAAAUGAAUAUCAAGCGUUAUAGUAUGAUUUUUAAUACUCUAAAAAAGUAAGAUGAGCGGUGGGGGAGAGAAAAUUUUUGGGAUAUAUUGAUUCGGAUUGAAUUGCAAAUACAGCAACGAUAGAAUCAAUGCAAUUCUGAAUUGCAAUAAACAAGCGUGGUCUCUCAAAUAGAAUCGAACUGCUAGAUGACGUCGAGUGAUGAAUUCAACGAUUCCAAAAAAACUAAGAGAUGGAUGAAAUUACGCAAGGAAUCCAGGUCUCAAAAAAAAAGGAAAAUGGGGAUAUGGCGAAAUCGGUAGACGCUACGGACUUGAUUGUAUUGAGCCUUAGUAUGGAAACCUGCUAAGUGUUAACUUCCAAAUUCAGAGAAACCCUGGAAUUAAAAAAGGGCAAUCCUGAGCCAAAUCCGUGUUUUGAGAAAACAAGGGGUUCUCGAACUAGAAUCCAAAGGAAAAGGAUAGGUGCAGAGACUCAAUGGAAGCUGUUCUAACGAAUCGAGUUAAUUUAUUUAGGUUGUUUUGGUAGUGGAAAUCCUUUUAAAUUAGAGAAAGAAGGGAUUUUUACAUCUAAUAAACACGUAUAGAUACUAACAUAGUAAACGAUUAAUCACAGAAUCCAAGUAUAACAUAGGUUCUUUAUUCUUUUUUAGAAUGAAAUUAGGAAGGAUUAUGAAAUAAAAAAUUAAUAAAUUUUUUAGAAUUAUUGUGAAUCCAUUCUAAUUGAAUCUUGAGUAAUCAAAUCCUUCAAUUCAAAGUACUUGAGAUCUUUUAAAAAGUGGAUUAAUCGGACGAGGACAAAGAGAGAGUCCCAUUCUACAUGUCAAUACUGACAACAAUGAAAUUUCGAGUAAAAGGAAAAUCCGUCGACUUUAUAAGUUGUGAGGGUUCAAGUCCCUCUAUCCCCAAAUCCUUUUUAUUCCCCAACUAUCCUCUUUUAUUCCCUAACUUUUAUCCUCUUUUUUUCUUUUUAUCAAUGGGUUUAAGAUUCAUUAGCUUUCUCAUUCUACUCUUUCACAAAGGAGUGCGAAGAGAACUCAAUGGAUCUUAUCCUAUUCAUUGAAUAGAUUUCUUUUUUAUUAGAGUAUCCGCAAGGACUCUCGGUUAUUAACUCUAUUUUUAAGUAUUAUUAAGUAAUCCAUGCACAAUGCAUAGGACCACCCCCCCAUUUUUCAAUUUGGAAUUUGAAAUACUUUAAUUGAUUUUUGAGUCCCUUUAAUUGACAUAGAUACAAAUACUCUACUAGGAUGAUGCACAAGAAAAGGUCAGGAUAGCUCAGUUGGUAGAGCAGAGGACUGAAAAUCCUCGUGUCACCAGUUCAAAUCUGGUUCCUGGCAGAGAAAAAAAAGAUCUACCGAAUAGGUUUUGAUAAAAAUGCCUCAAGAUGGAUUAGGAUACAUAUUCGUUAAUACUAUAAAUAAAGUCUGAUUUAUUCAUCUAGGUGGAUAAGUCUCUAAUAUAGAGGCACUUCUUUUUCUUUUUAGAGAAGGGUAAAAAUCUCUGGUUCUUUUCUUUAUGGUACAGAAGGAGGUGAGAUUAGGUUCCCCUUUAUUUUUUUUUGCAUUUCUUAAUUUUGUAUUCUGCAUAUUACGACGAAUAUUUUUUUAUUCUUGCUUAUCUUACUUUUCCAAUUGUGCUAAGUCAUGCGCGCGAUACAAAGUUCGUGGUAGAGAACUUCUUUGAGUCAUCAUAUUUUUCUGUUCAUAUGAGGGAAAUUCAUAUGUGAUUUUCCAAAUAAGGGAAUCCAAAUGAAACCCUUUUUUUGCUCAGUCUAUCUGGACUACUUUUGUAUAAUAGGAAUUAAUUCGAAAUAGGUAUUCCGUUUCAUCUAGGAACAGAACGUAAAAAUUUUCCUUUACUUGAAUAAAAUCUGGAGUUGUGUUGUAUAAGUCCGCAUGAAUUUCUUAUCAUUCAAUGAGCAUCUUGUAUUUCAUAGAAAUUGGGGGUUAUAUAGUCCUUACGUAAGGGCCAGCCUACCCAACUUUCAGGCAUUAGGAUACGUUUAAGGCGCGGAUGAUUAUCAUAAGAGAUUCCCACCAUAUCAUAAGAUUCGCGUUCUUGAAAAUCGGCACUUCUCCAAAUCCAGAAGACAGACGGAAUUCUAGGAUUAUCCUUUUGGGCAAAGACUUUUAUGCAUACUUCUUCUGGGUUAUCUAUGCCAUACUGUAUUCUCGUAAGAUGAUACACGCUAGCUAAAGAUCCACCGGGUGCUACAUCAUAAGCACAUUGGGAGCGUAAAUAAUUGUAACCAUAUACGUAUAAAAUGACAGCAAUGGAAUCCCAAUCCCCCGCUUUUAUUUGUAAAGUCUCUAUUCCUCGGUGAUCAAAGCCCAAAGAUCUAUGAACCACCUUAUGUUUGACUAGCCAAUUAGAUAACCAACCCUGCUGCAUUGUCUUGAUCUCUCCCUCUUUGUUUUGUAUAAAUAUUUCACAUUUCGGAUGCAAGUUUCAAAGAUUGCCUUGCUUUUUAUUUUUCUAGACAAAAGAACCCCCCUCCUAAUUCACUAAUUUGUAGGAAGGUACUAUACUUUUGGAUUUGUAAAAAUUUUCAGAAGAUAUAUCUAAAGUAGAUGGUGAUUGAUAGAGCAAUUCUUGCUCGUAAGUUCCAGUAUGAGUACUGCGCCGAACAUAAAGCUUGUGACUGGUAGUAAAACAUCGGUUUUUAUUUUGAGAUCGAAUUCGAUCCUCAACUAUUUCUCGCGAUAUCUUCUUACGAAGUUUUGUUAGGGCAUCUAUAACCGCCUCCGGUUUAGGUGGGCAACCCGGCAAGUAGACAUCCACAGGAAUUAACUUAUCAACUCCUCGAACAGUACUAUAGGAAUCCGUACUGAACAUUCCCCCUGUAAUAGUACAAGCUCCCAUAGCAAUGACGUAUUUUGGUUCAGGCAUUUGCUCGUAUAACCUCACUAAAGAAGGAGCCAUUUUCAUUGUUACUGUACCAGCUGUUAAAAUUAGGUCCGCUUGCCUAGGACUUGAUCUUGGUACCAAUCCAUAACGAUCAAAGUCGAAUCGUGAGCCUAUUAAUGAAGCAAAUUCAAUGAAACAACAACUGGUACCGUAUAGAAGGGGCCAUAAACUGGAGAGUCUUGACCAAUUUGAAAGAUCGUUUGGUGUAGUUGAAAUAACAGAAUUGGAACUUGUUUGGUCAAGUAAAGGAAACUCAAUCAAACUCAUAACUGUCUCAAUGGAAUCUUUUUCUUCUUUUUUUUUUUCUAAAUAUUCAGUUAAGACCAUUCCAAGGCUCCUUUUCGCCAUGCAUAAACUAAACCAACAACUAGGAUAAGCACGAAAAUGAAAGCUUCGAUAAAAACGGAUACACCCAAUACGUCGAAACUCAUUGCCCAAGGGUAGAGAAAGACGGUUUCCACAUCAAAAACAACAAAAACUAGCGCAAACAUGUAAUAGCGUAUUCGGAAUUGUAGCCAAGCCCCUCCCAUGGGUUCUAUACCCGAUUCAUAACUAGAAAGCUUUUCGGGUCCUUCACUAAUCGGGGCUAAAAGCCCUGAAAUCCAAAAUGCCAAAAUCGGAAUAAGGCUUGCUAUUAUUAGAAAUGUCCAAAAAAUAUCAUAUUCGUGAAGCAGAAACAUAAUGUACUCCCAUUAAUGUAGAAUAGACGAGACUUAAAUUAAUCAAUUCAAUUAUGCAUUGUCAAUUCAUCCAGAACUUAUCUCUUUUCCUCGGUGAAACAAGAAUCUGUUUUGUUCAAACAAAAUCGCUUAGUUUAGCCUUUGUUUUCUCUGUGCUGUGUCUUCUUUAAAGAUUCAUCCAAUGGAAUCCCAACUCCCCUUCUUUUUUUUCCAUUCUAUUUAGAUAUGGUAUAGAUCUAAUUCUUAUAUAAAAAAUACUUUAUCCCUUCACUUUAUUUUGCUUUCUCUAUAAUCUUUAGAACCUAAUUAACAUAAGAGGACUAGUCUAUGCAGUAGACUGAGAAGUAAUACUAUAAAAAAAUAAGGAACUCUAUUUCAGAACUAUGAGACAUAAUAUUCUGUUUUCUUAUUUACUCUUUACUUUAAUUCUUUCUAUUUUUUUUUCUAUUUAGGAUUUUAAGUAGAUCGAUUUAGAUAAUGUAUAUAUAAGCAAAGUAAUAUACUUAAAACAAAGUAUAAAUUCGCAAGAUGGAGAAAAUCAUUGCAGUUUUUAUAGGGAAGUCUAGAGAUACCCUAUUUGAAGAAGGGCGGGAUUCAAAUCAGGGAAGGGCUCUUUUCUUCUAUUGAUUUGAUAGAAAUCACUUUUUCGUUUCUUAUCUCUAUGAUUUUUGAUGAAUGAGCCUGUGGUAAUGCUUUUACGCCUAUUCUAUGUCGCAGGCGCCCGCCCAGUCUAUAAACAAGUACUAAUGUGAAAAUAAAAGCUAUACUAAGGAAAACAUAGGAUAUCUAUACUAAAAUCCAAAAAUAGGACAUAUUAGGGCUAUACGGAUUCGAACCGUAGACCUUCUCGGUAAAACAGAUCAAACAGAUUAUUAUCGAAAUGAUUCGAACUGUUUCAAAGACCCAACAUGCAUUUUUUUGCAUUGGGCUCUUUCAUCAACUGAUUUAAAGAUCAGUUAGUCCACCAUAGUUUUUCUUUACGGAAAGAUAAUGAGAUGGCUCCCUGUGCUCUGAUUGAUUAUUUGUAUUAUGGUCUAUCUAGGAGCAAUACCAAAGUGUUUCAAAGGAGGAUUACCUUGACUUAGGUCUGCCUCCGGCCUAAAUUAAAUCAACCUAAGUGAAAUGGAGUCUCUAUCGUUCCACUGCAAGAGUUAACUAUGAGACUUCAUACACCUUAAAGUUCAUAGAACGAAAAGAAGUUUUUUGGAGGCCCUUAUCCUCAUUACGCCUAGCAUUUAGUGGGCUGGAUAUUUACCUUAUCAACUAGCAAAUCCAUAAGGGUUCGAUUUGAUUAGGCACCAGAAUGGGGACCUGAAUCGGACUGAACUGACUCUUUGUCAGGCUACUGUUCUCCUAUUCUGUCGAAUCUAUGAAGUAAGACAUUGAUUUUGCAAUAAGAUCCAAAAUAUUCAUUGCAUAAUAAGCUCCUUUGAAAAGCAUUGGCGCACGUGUAAACGAGUUGCUCUACCGAACUGAGCUAUAGCCCUUAUCAGAGAUAUCUUAACAUAUAGAUAAUUUAUUGUCAAGAUGAAUAUUCUCUAAUGCCAGAGGGUAUCUCUUUAAAUAUGUAUCUGUUUAGUAUAUAACAUACCAAUAAGGAAGCGUUAUUGCUUAGAAAAGGGAUUCGAUAUAUAAUCGAUCGAAGUAAUGGGUCUUCCUUUGUGAUCAUAAAUUGCCUACUUAACUCAGUGGUUAGAGUAUUGCUUUCAUACGGCGGGAGUCAUUGGUUCAAAUCCAAUAGUAGGUAGGUAGGUAGAAAAAUUACUAGAUAGCAUUGGGCUUAUUUCGCUUCGCUAUCUAAUAACUUUUUCUACCCCUCUUCCCUUUAUCUUUGUAUCAACUAUAAACCAUUGGAUUGUCUUCAAUUGGAUGGGGGAAUCCAAUUGACAGCCUCGAUUCGUAUCCUAGCUCGUCUGAGAGCUAGUUUCGCUUCAACCAAUUCUUUCGUACCCUCAGCUUUACUCAAGUUAUCUUCGGCUAUUUUAAGUGCCUGUUGAGCUUCUUCCGGAUCAAUAUCACUACCCAGUUCCGCAUCAUUUCCUAAAAUAAUGAUCUCAUUAUUAACUAUUCUCGCAAAACCGCUCCACAGAACCGCCGUUAACCAUUGGUCGUUGAGGAGGCGUAUUCUCAAAGGACCCAUAUCUACUGCUGUGUUAAUGGGGGCAUGGUUUGGUAAUACCCCAAUUUGACCACUAUUAGUGGAUAAAAUGAUUUCUUUCACUUCACAAUCCCAAAUAAUUCGCUUAGGAGUCAGUACAUAAAGAUUUAAUUUCAUUUCUUCGAUUUGUUCUCCUCUUCUAAGGUUAUAGCUUUCGUGCUAGCUUCAUCGAUGUUACCCACCAAAUAAAAAGCCUGCUCGGGUAGGCCAUCUAAUUCUCCGGAAAGGAUUAGUUGAAAUCCCCUAAUUGUUUCUGCAAGACCAACAUACUUUCCUGCAGAACCAGUAAAAACUUCUGCUACAAAGAACGGUUGUGAUAAGAAACGCUCAAUUUUUCGCGCUCUUGCUACAGUUAAACGAUCCUCCUCCGAUAAUUCAUCCAAUCCAAGAAUUGCGAUAAUGUCCUGAAGUUCCUUGUAACGUUGUAAAGUUUCCUUAACUCUUUGCGCAGUUUCAUAAUGUUCGUUGCCAACGAUCCGAGGCUGUAACAUAGUUGAGGUUGAAUCUAAAGGAUCUACUGCUGGAUAAAUACCCUUGGAAGCUAAUCCUCUGGAAAGUACGGUAGUAGCAUCCAAAUGGGCAAAUGUUGUGGCAGGAGCAGGGUCAGUCAAAUCGUCCGCAGGUACAUAAACCGCUUGGAUCGAAGUUAUAGAUCCCUUUUUAGUAGAAGCAAUUCUUUCUUGCAAAGAACCCAUUUCUGUACUAAGAGUAGGUUGAUAACCCACCGCGGAGGGCAUUCUCCCUAAUAAAGCGGAUACCUCCGAUCCUGCUUGAACAAAACGAAAGAUAUUAUCGAUGAAUAAAAGCACGUCUUGCUUAUUAACAUCUCGGAAAUAUUCCGCCAUAGUUAGGGCAGUUAAACCAACUCUCAUACGAGCUCCCGGUGGUUCAUUCAUUUGGCCAUAGACUAGAGCUACCUUUGAUUCCUCAAUAUUUUUUUCAUUAAUUACUCCGGAUUCCCUCAUUUCCAUAUAAAGAUCAUUUCCUUCACGAGUCCGUUCCCCUACUCCACCAAAUACGGAUACGCCCCCAUGAGCUUUAGCAAUGUUGUUGAUUAAUUCCAUGAUGAGUACUGUUUUACCUACUCCAGCCCCCCCAAAUAGUCCUAUUUUUCCUCCACGUCGAUAAGGAGCUAAAAGAUCGACGACCUUAAUACCUGUUUCAAAGAUGGAUAAUUUCGUAUCUAACUCGAUAAAGGCAGGCGCAGAUCUAUGAAUAGGGAACGUUGCACUACUAUCUACAGGACCCAAAUUGUCAACAGGCUCCCCAAGAACGUUGAAAAUUCGCCCGAGAGUAGCUCCGCCGACCGGAACACUGAGAGGAGCUCCUGUGUCAAUCACUUCCAUUCCUCUCAUCAACCCAUCUGUAGCACUCAUAGCUACAGCUCUAACUCGAUUAUUUCCUAAUAAUUGUUGUACCUCACAAGUCACAUUAAUUUGCUUAUCGGCAGUGUCUCUACUCUGGACUACCAAAGCGUUAUAAAUAUAAGGUAACUUACCGGGGGGAAAAGUGACGUCCAGCACGGGUCCAAUAAUUUGAUCGAUACGGCCUGUACUUUUUUCUUCAAUUGGGGAAACCCCGGGACGAGAAGUAGUAGGAUUGGUUCUCAUAAUUAUCACAUAAUAAAAAAAAAGGAAUUUGUCGAAAUUUUUAUUUUUUUCUUGUUGAAUAAUACCAAAUCCAAAAAAAUAUCCAAAAAUCCAAAAGUAAAAAGGAAAUCAAUUAGUUAAUUCAAUAAGAGAAAAAAGGGGAACAGGACUUGAUUUCGUUGCCCAAGCGAAUCCCUUUCAACCCUUUACUCAUGGAAUGAGGCCGUUGGAAAGUUCAAUCAAUCUUUUUUUCAUAAGAUAGAUUUUUCCUUUUGUGGAGGAUCUGUGCCUACUCUACUUUCCUAUCUAGGACUUCGCUAUACAAAAUAUAUACUACUGUGAAGCAUAGAUUGCUGUCAACAGAAAAUUUUCUUAGUAUUUAGUUAGGUAUUUCUUUUCAAAAUAAGAAAGGGGCCCUUUAAUAAUUUGUAAAAAAAAAGGUUAAGGAUUGAUUUGGGUUGCGCUAUAUCUAUCAAAGAGUAUACAAUAAUGAUGGAUUUGUUAAAUCAAAUCCUUGGUUUAAUAACGAACGGUGUUAACUUACCAUAACAACAACUCAAUUCCUAUCGAAUUCCUAUAGUGAAAUUCCUAUAGGAUAGAACAUACACAGGGUAUACGCAUUAUAUAUGAAUGAAAAAUAUUAAUUAACUUAAGCAUGCCCUCAAUUUUCUGUAAUGAGUUGCUAUUAAUUGAAUAUCUCUUUUUUUUUAUGAGAUUUUUGCUAAAGUUUCAUUUACGCCUAAUUCACAUCGAGUAGACCUUGUUAUUGUGAGAAUUCUUAAUUCAAGAGUUGUAAGGAGGGACUUAUGUCACCACAAACAGAAACUAAAGCAAGUGUUGGAUUUAAAGCUGGUGUUAAAGAUUAUAGAUUGACUUACUACACCCCGGAGUAUGAAACCAAGGAUACUGAUAUCUUGGCAGCAUUCCGAGUAUCUCCUCAACCUGGGGUUCCGCCCGAAGAAGCAGGGGCUGCAGUAGCUGCCGAAUCUUCUACUGGUACAUGGACAACUGUUUGGACUGAUGGACUUACUAGUCUUGAUCGUUACAAAGGACGAUGCUAUCACAUCGAGCCUGUUCCUGGGGAAGACAGUCAAUGGAUCUGUUAUGUAGCUUAUCCAUUAGAUCUAUUUGAAGAGGGUUCCGUUACUAACAUGUUUACUUCCAUUGUAGGUAACGUAUUUGGUUUCAAAGCCCUACGUGCUCUACGUCUGGAGGAUCUACGAAUUCCCCCUACUUAUUCAAAAACUUUCCAAGGCCCGCCUCACGGUAUCCAAGUGGAAAGAGAUAAGUUGAACAAGUAUGGUCGUCCUUUAUUGGGAUGUACUAUUAAGCCAAAAUUGGGAUUAUCUGCAAAAAAUUACGGUAGAGCGUGUUAUGAGUGUCUACGUGGUGGACUUGAUUUUACCAAAGAUGAUGAAAACGUAAACUCACAACCAUUUAUGCGCUGGAGAGAUCGUUUUGUCUUUUGUGCCGAAGCUAUUUAUAAAUCACAGGCGGAAACCGGUGAAAUCAAGGGGCAUUACUUGAAUGCAACUGCGGGUACAUGUGAAGAAAUGAUGAAGAGAGCUGUUUUUGCGAGAGAAUUAGGUGUUCCUAUUGUAAUGCAUGACUACUUAACUGGGGGAUUCACCGCAAAUACUACUUUGGCUCAUUAUUGCCGCGACAAUGGCUUACUUCUUCACAUUCACCGUGCAAUGCAUGCAGUUAUUGAUAGACAGAAAAAUCAUGGUAUGCAUUUCCGUGUAUUAGCUAAAGCAUUGCGUAUGUCUGGGGGAGAUCAUAUCCACGCCGGUACAGUAGUAGGUAAGUUAGAAGGGGAACGCGAAAUCACUUUAGGUUUUGUUGAUUUAUUGCGCGACGAUUUUAUUGAAAAAGAUCGUGCUCGCGGUAUCUUUUUCACUCAGGACUGGGUAUCCAUGCCAGGUGUUAUACCAGUAGCUUCAGGUGGUAUUCAUGUUUGGCAUAUGCCAGCUCUGACCGAAAUCUUUGGGGAUGAUUCUGUAUUACAAUUUGGUGGAGGAACUUUAGGACAUCCUUGGGGAAAUGCACCUGGUGCAGCAGCUAAUCGAGUGGCUUUAGAAGCCUGUGUACAAGCUCGUAACGAAGGGCGCGAUCUUGCUCGUGAAGGUAAUGAAAUUAUCCGAGCAGCUUGCAAAUGGAGUCCUGAACUAGCCGCAGCUUGUGAAGUAUGGAAGGCGAUCAAAUUCGAGUUCGCGCCGGUAGAUACUAUCGAUUAAUAGAUAAAACUAAAUAUGAAGAAGGUCUAAAUAAAAAGAAACAAAAUAAAAAGAGAAAAAAUAAGUUACGAAAUGCAGUAAUUCUUCUUUAUUCUUCUAAUUGACUGCAAUUAAACUCGGCUCAAUCUUUUUUUUUAGAAAAAAAAAAGAUUGAGCCGAAUAAAAAUGGAUCAUGAUACGAUCAUGAGACUUCACAAAUCGAGAUUCGCCUAUUCUAUAUAUCUAGAAUAUAUAAAGGUAUAAUAAAUAAAUACAAAUCAAAUAUACUAUUAUCAUAUGAUAAUAGAAUCAAAUACGCAGUAUUUACAGAAAAAAGUCUUCUAUAAAAAAUAUUUAUUUUGCAAACUAAAAAAUACAAUAGUCAAUAUUCCUCAUAAUAGAUAUACUUAAUUAUAUCAUAAGAAUCUUAAGACAUUUUUCGAAUAGAUAGAAAUAGUUAAUUUGAAUUGAGACACCUAUUCUAUGACGGAUUUAAACUUACCUUCGAUUUUCGUGCCUUUAGUAGGCUUAGUAUUUCCGGCAAUUGCAAUGGCUUCUUUAUUUCUUUAUGUGCAGAAAAAUAAGAUUGUCUAGUAUUUUUUAGUGUAAGUAAGUGUAAGUAAUAGAAUAUGGUAGGGUAUGUGGCUCUUUCUACACACAAAUGAAAAACGGCUAUGGAUGCGGAUAUAGGCUACAAGCAUAAAUGCAUGAAUAUGCGGAGCCGGGUAUAGCUAUUUUUAUUUUAAUUGAAUCAACGAAUAUUUUUUGAAUAGAAAGUCAGUGUAUCUAACCUAUUAUUUCACAAGAGUACUAGUUGCUGAAGGCGAUUUCAGAAUCAAAAAAAGUAAAGUCAAAAUCAUUUAGCUUAUUCUCUCAAUUUCAAUCGACUGCUGCUGGAUUUAGUAUAUCUAAUAUGAAUUGGCGAUCAGAACACAUAUGGGUAGAACUUCUAAAAGGUUCUCGAAAAAGGGGUAAUUUUUUCUGGGCCUCUAUUCUUUUUCUAGGUUCACUAGGAUUCUUAUCAGUUGGGGUUUCCAGUUAUCUUGGUAAGAAUAUGAUAUCUAUACUUCCAUCUCAACAAAUUCUUUUUUUUCCGCAGGGGGUCGUGAUGUCUUUCUACGGAAUCGCGGGCUUAUUCAUUAGCUCCUACUUGUGGUGUGCUAUUUUGUGGAAUGUAGGUAGUGGUUAUGACCGAUUCGAUAGAAAAGAGGGAAUCGUGUGCAUUUUUCGUUGGGGAUUCCCUGGAAUAAAACGUCGCGUCUUCCUUCGAUUCCUUAUGCGGGAUAUCCAAUCAAUUAGAAUUCAGGUUAAAGAGGGUUUUUAUCCUCGUCGUAUCCUUUAUAUGGAAAUCCGGGGCCAGGGGGUCAUUCCCUUGACUCGUACUGAUGAUAAGUUUUUUACUCCACGAGAAAUUGAACAAAAAGCUGCCGAAUUGGCCUAUUUCUUGCGCGUACCAAUUGAAGUAUUUUGAAUAUCCAUUGUAUUUUUUGGAACUGAAUAGAAUGAAGAAGAAUUGGAAGAAGAAAAGUUUUCUCAACAUGGGGAGGAAGUCCCUCCGAAAUUUGAUUUGUUAUUGUAUUGUAAGGGGCUUUUUUAGUAUUUAUCUAAAGGAAGGAACAAACGAGGAUAAGAUAAAAUUUCUUUAAAUUUAUUUUGCCCAAGUGGGAUAUAUGGCAUACUAUUCUUUCCAUUUUCAUCUUUUUUUCUAUUCCACUCCAUCUAGAUAUAAGAAAGAACCCAAUGCAAUGAAAUUCCACUAAUAUACAAUACAAAAAAGAAGAAUAGAUACAGGGUCUCAAACCUUGCUAUAGAGUUUUUGCUUCAAAGAAAAAAAAAUAUCAUCAUAGAGUCAGCGAAUGAAGCGGAUUCAUUAACAACUCAAUUUAUAGAUCAAAAAUGAAAAAAAAGAAAGCAUUGCCUUCUUUACUAUAUCUUGUAUUUAUCGUACUUUUGCCCUGGGGGGCCUCUUUCUCAGUUAACAAAUGUCUGGAACUUUGGAUUAAGAAUUGGUGGAAUACCAGACAAUCUGAAACUCUCUUAACUGAUAUUCAAGAGAAAAGGAUUCUAGAAAGAUUCAUAGAAUUAGAAGAACUUUCUCUCUUGGACGAGAUGAUAAAAGAGAAACCAAAGACACAUGUACAAAAACCUCCUAUAGGAAUACACAAGGAAAUAAUACAAUGGGUCAAAAUAGAUAAUGAAGAUCAUCUCCAUAUCAUUUUGCAUUUCUCGACAAAUAUAAUCUGUUUGGCUAUUCUUAGUUCUUUUUUUUUUGGUAAAGAGGAACUUGUCAUUUGGAAUUCUUGGGUUCAGGAAUUCUUCCAUAACUUAAAUGACUCAAUAAAAGCUUUUUUUAUCCUUUUGGUUACUGAUUUUUUUGUUGGAUUUCACUCCACCCGGGGUUGGGAACUAGUAAUUCGUUGGGUCUACAACGAUCUUGGAUGGGCUCCUAACGAGCUAAUUUUUACUAUUUUUGUUUGUAGUUUUCCAGUAAUUCUAGAUACAUGUUUGAAAUUUUGGGUCUUUUUUUGUUUAAACCGUCUAUCCCCUUCGCUUGUAGUCAUUUAUCAUUCAAUUAGUGAAGCAUAAAUUCAUUUGAUCUCCUGAUAUUAAUCAAAUUAGCAUCUUUCUUUCUUUAGAAAAAGGCCCCUUUCCAUUUUAGCAAAAUUCUUUCUAUUUCUACCUGCUUAAAGGUAUUCAUCAUUCCGGUACAACUGUUGCAGUAGAAUGACAACAGACUCGUGUAUAGGGAACUAGAUUAGCUUAGCUACCUAUCUAAUUUAUUGUAGAAAUUCUGGGAUCUGCGAUUGGACAUGGAAAAUAGAAAUACUUUUUCUUGGGUAAAGGAACAGAUGACUCGAUCGAUUUCUGUAUCGAUCAUGAUAUACGUAAUAACUCGGACAUCUAUUUCAAAUGCAUAUCCCAUUUUUGCGCAGCAGGGUUAUGAAAACCCACGAGAAGCAACUGGACGAAUUGUAUGCGCCAAUUGCCAUUUAGCUAGCAAGCCCGUGGAUAUUGAAGUUCCCCAAGCUGUGCUUCCCGAUACUGUAUUUGAAGCAGUUCUCCGAAUUCCUUAUGAUAUGCAACUGAAACAAGUUCUUGCUAAUGGGAAAAAGGGAGGGUUAAAUGUGGGUGCUGUUCUUAUUUUGCCCGAGGGAUUCGAAUUAGCGCCGCCCGACCGUAUUUCCCCUGAGUUGAAAGAAAAGAUAGGAAAUCUCUCUUUUCAGAGUUAUCGUCCCGAUAAAAAAAAUAUUCUUGUGAUAGGCCCUGUUCCCGGUAAGAAAUAUAGUGAAAUUGUCUUUCCCAUUCUUUCCCCUGAUCCUGCUACGAAGAAAGAUGCUCAUUUCUUAAAAUAUCCCAUAUAUGUAGGGGGAAACCGAGGAAGAGGGCAGAUCUAUCCUGAUGGUAGCAAGAGUAACAAUACGGUCUAUAAUGCUACGUCAACAGGUAUAGUAAAAAAAAUACUACGUAAAGAAAAAGGGGGGUAUGAAAUAUCCAUAGUGGAUGCAUCGGAUGGACGCCAAUUGAUUGAUAUUAUACCUCCCGGGCCAGAACUUCUUGUUUCAGAGGGGGAAUCCAUCAAGCUUGAUCAACCAUUAACAAGUAAUCCCAAUGUGGGAGGAUUUGGUCAGGGGGAUGCAGAAAUAGUGCUUCAGGAUCCAUUACGCGUCCAAGGCCUUUUGUUCUUCUUCGCAUCCGUUAUUUUGGCACAAGUUUUUUUGGUUCUCAAAAAGAAACAGUUUGAAAAGGUUCAAUUGUACGAAAUGAAUUUCUAGGUCCCGGGAUUUCUUACCAUCAACUUGGUAAAAAGCCGGGAUUUAUUGGCAAUUGUUAGAAUUAUCUAUGAUCUAUUUUGGAAAUCCUUUUUUUGUUUAGACUUUUUUUUGUUUGCGAGAUGUCUGGAAUUCCUUAUUUCUAUCUCAUGCAAAAGAAGAGAAUCCAAGGCAAAGGCGAGAACAAUAAAAGGAUUUCUUCCUUUUCGAAGGGAUUGCUGGUCUUGUUAAUCGUCUAUUCGGCACAAGAAAAAGACAAAAAGGCCUUUUUCUUGUGCCGAUUCUUCUUUUCUUGUCUCGAAAUAAGAAUCCUUUUUCUUUCUAUUCGUCAAAGGUUACAAUUUCUUCUUUAUUCGGGUCUGUCUCUUGGCCCUCUUUUGCUUAGGUUCAGGGGAGGUAGUGCACAAACAGAGGGGAAGGGAAUAUGGCGGGGGACAAAUUUAUUGUGAUUGUGAGCAAAUAGAAUUGCUUGACUUGUUCGAUUAAGUUCAAUUUAGAACUUACAGAAAUUUUGCAAAAAAAACGUAAACUUUUCCGUUGAAGGGUGGUUUUUUUUAGGCUAGUUGAGUAGUUUUGAUUAAGGUUUUAUUAGUUUAUUACUCUAAGUUAAAUCAAUGAUUUCCAGGAGACUCCCUUCGUGGAAUAAAAUAUUGUAUUGGAUCCUCGAUUGAUCUCUUUUUCUUAUUGCUUCAUAAGAGUGAAUCGAAUAGAUUAAAGUCGCGUUAUAAGAGUAAGAAUUCCGCGGGUCCUUUCCGCUCUAAUCAGAUAAAAAAAAGGGGGGGUAAGGACCCGCUAAGCUCCUACUUUUUCAUGUUUCCAAUCCGAUCCCUCCGAUUACUAUAGAGAUGAACCCAAUCCAGAAUAUGAACCAUAAAAGAAAACACCUACUAAACCAAUCACAGGAAUACCAGUUACCGUACCUAUCAGCCAAAGAGGAAUUCUUCCAGUAGUAUCGGCCAUUUCCCCUACUUUCCUCCACAUUUUAUCAAGUGGUCAUGCUAGAGACAAAAACAGUCAUGGAUAGUUAUGUUAUAAGGAUGGUAUCCUUCCAAAUGGGAUAAGAGAGUUCUUACUACUCUCUUCUUUUCUCUCAAUUGAAGAAGUAAUUGGAAAACAAAACAGCAAGUACAAAAAUGAGUAAUAAACCCCAGUAUAGACUGGUACGAUUCAAUUCAACAUUUUGUUCAUUCGGGUUUGAUUGUGUCAUAGUUCUAUAGUUGGAAUUUAGUUUAUCGUUGGAUGAACUGCAUUGCUGAUAUUGAUCCCAAGAAAAAAACAGUAGGUACAGCUAGUCCGUGAAUAGCCAGCCAUCGCACUGUAAAAAUAGGAUAGGUUCGAUCUAUGGUCAUUGAGGGCCUCCUAAAAAGAUCUACUAAAUUCAUCGAGUUGUUCUAAAGAAUCAAAACGGUCGGUUAUUAAAGGAAUUCCUUGUCGGCUUUCCGUGAAAUACUCGUUUGGCCGAGGACUUCCAAACACGUCAUAAGCUAAACCCGUACUGACAAAUAACCAACCCGCAAUGAAUAGGGAAGGUAUAGUAAUGCUAUGAAUAACCCAGUAUCGAAUACUGGUAAUAAUAUCAGCAAAAGAACGUUCUCCCGUGCUUCCAGACAUGCUGAGCUCCCCAAAUUUUUGUACAUUCAAAAAAGGAAUUGAUUCCGUAAAAGAUGGGAUCAACCAGUAAAUAAAAAAUUACUGGUAUUUCAUCCUUGUGAGAUUGUCAAUUUUGUACCAAAGGUGUAUUUUGAGUAUACCGAAUUAGUAUAGCUAUCCUUCCUAUGGCACAGCAAUCCAGUUUUGCUUGGUUCCGAAACAUAAUUCCUUUUUUAUCUUCUUUGUUCUUUGUCUAUAGGUAAGCUAUAUGUUGUUCAAGGCAUCAAUAGAAAACCCACUUUUUUGGAGUCCUACUUAUUUUCAUUGGCUUCGGAAUAGUAGAAGAAUUCGGAAUAGCGGCCAAAAUCUUGGGAAAAUAGAAGUUGAAGUUAAUGAUCAAUAGCUUUGGAUAAAGAAUUUAGGAAAGAUAUUCUCAUACUUACACAAUACAAGGACAAGUAUAUGUGAAAUCUAUCCUUUUUUGGUGAAAAGUUUUCUUCGAAUCCAAUCUUUCCUUUUAAAUAAUUUAUAAAUAAUUUAAUUGGUUAACAUAAUAUCUAAUAAAUAGAAAAUCGAAUAGUGGAUAAUCUGUUAUGAAAGAAAGAAAACAUUAUUUGAAGAAUCAAGAUUUGUGAUUAAUCCUUGUCUUGUUUGUUGGAUUAGGUCUAACUUUCUUGACUAAAUUGCGAGCGUGGAACUUUACGAGAUGAAAUAGGGAAAGACAGAAGAUAGAACUUCAAAGGAUAAUUGAAGCGACUCGUUUUCGAAAAAGGAAUAAAAAUAAAGUAAAUUUAAGGAAGAGGUUUCUUUUUUUAAGGGCCCUUCAGGGGAUAGUGGAAUGCUUUUCUUCUCCUCUUAUUCCAUAUGGAAUACAAUCAGUUAAAAUAAGAAAGAAUAGGGGGAAAUUCCCCCUUUCACUCAAAAAAGAGGGUUAAAUCCUAAAGAAAUAAUCCAAAAUAGGAAGUAGUUUUUUUUUCAAAUUCAAUUGUUUAUUUCUCUCUUAUUCCAAAAUUCCCCUGAAAAUACAAUUGAAUUUUUCAAUGGGGUUAGAUGAUGUUGUUUUUAAUAUUAUUACUUUACUCAAUGGAAAAAUUCCACAACAAAUCUCUUGAUUCGGAAUUAGUGACUCAUGUAUCAUCUGAUGAAUCCACUUUCUUUUACACUUCUGUAUCUCACUCUAUCUUGUUUUUUAGUAUUAUCUAAAAUAACUGAUAAAUUAUGAAUUUUCCAUAACUUAGGUAAGUGCUUUACCAACAUAUGUAGUAUAGUAAAAAAAUAAAUGGAAUUUAACCCUUUCAUGCUUACUAUAACUAGUUAUUUCGGUUUUCUAUUGGCUGCUUUAACUAUAACCCCAGCUUUAUUUAUUGGUUUGAACAAGAUACGUCUUAUUUGAAUUGACUGAAUAAGUCAGAAAAUAAAAAUAUUUCUUUUGGAUUCCGGGUAUUCUACGACUCUUUUCCCCACUAAUUACGAAUUCUUUUCUUGGUCAUUGAGAUUCGUGGAUAAUUUAUAGUACUAUUUAGGGAUAGAUCGUAUCUAUUUUUUUAUCCCCUCGAACAAAUCGAAAUGAUUGAAGUUUUUCUAUUUGGAAUCGUCUUAGGCCUAAUUCCUAUUACUUUAGCGGGAUUAUUCGUGACUGCGUAUUUGCAAUACAGGCGUGGGGAUCAGUUGGAUCUUUGAUUGAGUAAUAUUUUUUUUUGAUUGACCUCCUCCUUGGUCUGGAGGAGGUCAAAUUGGAGUUGCAAUUCAACUUUCUUUUGUUAAGUUACUUUACUCUGGUUCGACAUAAGAUAGAUGGAAUCACGCUCUGUAGGAUUUGAACCUACGACAUCGGGUUUUGGAGACCCGCGUUCUACCGAACUGAACUAAGAGCGCUGUCAUUCAUUCAAAAAGAAAACUCUUUUCUACUCCUAACGUAUCUCACGUACGUAUAGUCUGCACAAAUUCAAGUUAUACCCACUUUACCUUUAAUCAAUCUCUUCGCUACUGCCCAUAAAGAAGAAAUAAGUAAUAGGUAGGGAUGACAGGAUUUGAACCUGUGACAUUUUGUACCCAAAACAAACGCGCUACCAAGCUGCGCUACAUCCCUUUUCCAAAUUGUUGUACAAUGCCAUUGUACACAAUUCCUGUCUUCUUUUCCAUAUCGUAAUUUUCUUCUUCUUUCUCUAUCUAUAUAGAACCCUCCCGUCAUUUCUUCUUUUUGGUCUCAUCUCAUAUAAUCAAGGAAUGAUAUACAUUUAAAAUCCAAUCGAAUUUCGCCUAUAAAAGAAAGAUUACUAUGGUAAUGUGUAGGAAGAAGGGUGUCAUCUUUUUCUUUUUUAGGGAUAGGGAAAUUUCGUCUAUAUGGUUCAUUUUAUAUAUAGCAUAACGUUCUUGGGCAAGAGUUUCUGAUCAUAUACGUAUUCCAAUAAGGAAGGAGGAUUUUCAAUGCGGAAUAUAAAAACAUAUCUCUCUGUAGCACCUGUGCUAAGUACUCUAUGGUUUGCUGCUUUAGCAGGUUUAUUGAUAGAAAUUAAUCGUUUAUUCCCAGAUGCUUUGUCGUUCCCUUUUUUUUAAUUCUAGUUAUUGCUAUGCGAGAAAUCGAAUUCUUCAUGACAUGAAGAAAUUUUUACCCUUUUCAAUCCUUUUUUAGUAUCGGAAGGAAAAAGAACGAAAUGCUGGAUUGGGCUGAACCUCAGAGUCAUGAAAAAUUUUGGUAAAUCCCAUUUUGGAAAACGGAAAUUCAAUUAAAAGCGAUAUCCAAAGAAAUCAGAGCAUAGAAAAAGGCCCGGCUGACUAAUUAAAUGAAAGGAUUUCGAAACAAAAUCUUUGCUAAUUCGACAAGGAUUGUAUUCUUUAAUUAUUUCUCUAUUUUUUAUUACUUAAUUUAAGAAUUUCAAAAAAAUUAUAUUCUAAUGGAUUUUAUUCUUCUUCUUCGGAUUCAAAAUAGAAGAAUAAAAGAAUAAAUAAGUAGAAGAAUUAAGUUAAGUCAAUCCAACCAAAAAGAAAAGGAGGUUCAUGGCCAAGGGGAAAGAUGUUAGAAUCAGAGUUAUUUUGGAAUGCAUCAGUUGUGUUCGAAAAGGUGCCAAUGAGGAAUCGACGGGAAUUUCUAGAUAUAGUACUGAAAAGAAUCGCCACAAUACACCCGGACAAUUAGAAUUCAAAAAAUUUUGUCGUUAUUGUCGCAAGCACACGACUCAUCACGAAAUAAAGAAAUAGGAAGAUCGUGUGUUCGAUCUUUCCAAAGAACAGAAAGAGUAAGAACUUCCUAUUUUAUUUAAUAUAUAAAUAAAACAUAGAUACAAUACAAAAUAAAAAUCAACUCAUAUUAUUUUAGGUAGAUAUUAUUUCAUAUGUCUAGAGGGUAUUCAUAUACUAUAAUAUGAAUCAAAUAAGAUUAAGAUAUGGAUCAAAGAAAGACUACUUCUUCUCGAUCCUAAAUUAAUAAAAUAAAGAAAUUUCAUUUCUUUUAUUAAUUUUAAAAUUUUAAAUAAGGAAUAAAUCAUGUAUACAUCUAAACAACCUUUUCUUAAAUCUAAGCAACCCUUUCGUAAAUCCAAGCAAACUUUUAAUAAAUCCAAGCAACCCUUUCGUAAAUCCAAGCAAACUUUUCGUAAAUCCAAACAACCUUUUCGUAGGCGUCCUCGGAUUGGCCCGGGAGAUCGAAUUGAUUAUAGAAACAUGAGUUUGAUUAAUCGAUUUAUUAGUGAACAGGGAAAAAUAUUAUCGAGACGAAUAAAUCGAUUAACCUUGAAACAACAACGAUUAAUUACUCUUGCUAUAAAACAGGCUCGUAUUUUAUCUUUCUUACCAUUUCGUAACUAUGAGAACGAAAAGCAAUUUCAAGCCCAGUCAAUUUCAAUAAUUACAGGUUCUAGACCCAGAAAAAAUAGACAUAUUCCUCAAUUAACGCAAAAGUACAGUUCCAAUCGAAACGUAAGAAACUAUAACCAAAAUUUAAGAAACAACAAUCGGAACUUAAGUUCCGAUUGUUGAUGUUUUAUUCGAAAGGGCCAGGCCUAUAUAUAUUAUAAAGAAAGUAAUCCAGCUCGUUGAUUCCUACCACUUAAUCUUAAAUUAUUGUGUCUUCCCGGAGUCCCCUCUCCGGGAAUUCGGUUUUUAUUAUUCCAGUAUAUUACUUUAUUUAUCCUUUUAAUUGAUGAUCUUGAUUUUCUUGGAAAUCGUGUAAAGGUUAUUUGGAUUUGAUACAGCGACUUGUGCAAGCAUUUUACGGUUAAGAAUCAAUUUCUUCUUAUAUAGGUUGUGUAUUAAUUUACUAUAACUAUCGAAUACUUUAAAUAUCCGCGUUGCUGCGUUUAUCCGAGUGAUCCACAAACGGCGAAAAUCCCUCUUUUGCCUACCUCUAUCUCGAUGAGAGGAAACAAAAGCUCUUUUUACCUGUUGGGUAAUCAUUCGAUUAAGUCUUAAAUGAGCCCCUCUAAAAUUUGAGGCAAAUGAACGCAUUUUUGUUCGUCGUCUCCGGGCUAUAUAUCCUCGCGGAACUCUGGUCAUUGAAUCAAAUUAACCUUAAUGAAUAACUAAUGAUUUCUCUUCUUUUAGCCAUCCUUUUCCCCAUUAAUAACAAAACGAAUUAUUCCGAUAUAUAAAAUAUUAAUUCCAAUGGCUUUUGCUAUAGUAACCUUCCCAACCACGAUUUUUUUUCUACUCCCUUCAGUUAUUUCUAUGCGAAAUAACAAAUUAAUUCUAAUGAUACUAAAAAAAUAGUGGGUUCCAUCGUUUCUAUGGUUCCCUUUUAAACGGCGAGGCCCUCUCUAUACACCGGAGCCCCUUCUUUUAUCAAAAGGUAUUGUGAACUUGUAUAGUUCACAUUCUUUGGCUCUACCUAUCCAUUAUAGAGUAAAUAGCUCUUUUCACAAUAAGAGUUAUCCAUACAGUGACGGCAUUUAAUUAUGAAAGUUAGCUAAGUAGCUGACCCUGUUAGUCCGUUCUUUUAAGAUAAAGGAACAUAAGCCUUUUUCUUUUUAUUACUUUUUCCUCCGCUUAAUGGAUAACUAUUUGCUACCAAUGGAGGAAUUGCUUCUUAUUUCCAAUUUAGAUAACUGGAUUUGCACCAAAGGAAACCACAAAUUCCAUAUAUCAUAGAAAUCUAGGAUAGAGAAGCUAUAUCCUAUUCAUUGGUACCAAUCAUGGCUACUUCAAUUUUUUUUUUAUUUUUUUGAAGUCAUGAUCUGAACGAGUCGCACAUACACCCUAGCACAUGUUCCUCGACGCUGAGGACAUCCUUUAAGCGCGGCUGUUUUUCUAGCAGUUCGUAUUGGCUGUCUUGCGUUUCUAAUAAGUUGUUUAACCGUUGGCAUGUUGUAUGUAUAUAGAAAAAAGUAGAUUGGUUUAGAUCCAUCUUAACCUGAUGAUUGAUCAUCAUGAAGUCUUUCUAUUUUCUAUUAAAUCGAAGAAAACCCGAAUUUAGGUGUGAAAUAACUUUACAAGAAAUCCGGGCACUACCAAUCCUUAAACAUUUCUGGAAACCACACUGGAUCAGUAUCGCAGUGCUCGUGAAUCAUUUCAUCCCCUACAAUAUCGACAAGCCCAUAAGCUUUGGCUUCGUCUGCUGACAUAAAAACAUCCCUUUCCAUGUCUUCGGAUACAACCCAAAAAGGCUUGCCUGUUCUUAGUGCAUAAACCCUUGUGAUCAUUUCGCGAACUUUGUGUAACUCUUCCACUUCUAGUAAAAAUUCUGGUGUCCUUGCUCGAUAAUAAGCACUAGCAGGUUGGUGAAGCAUAAUCCUCGCGUGAGGGAAUGCUAUACGCUUGGUGGGUUCUCCUCCAAGCAGAAUGAAGGACGCCAUGGACGCAGCUAUUCCGAGGCAUAUUGUAUAUAUAUCCGGUGUCACCGUUUGCAUCGUAUCAAAAAUAGCCAUUCCUGAGAUUAGCCAUCCGCCUGGGGAGUUUAUAAACAAAAAAAUAUCACUAAUUCCAUCUUCUAUACUGAGAUAUACCAUGAGACCUGUAAUAUGAUUCGUGAUCUCGCAACGAAUCUCUUGACCUAAAAAAAGUGUCCUUUCUCGAUACAUAACAUUGUAUAAGUCAACCCAAGUCGCUUCUUCAUCUCCGGGAAUCUGGUAAGGUACUUUUGGAACACCAAUGGGCAUAUUAGAUUAAUAUUAUUAAAUUUAAGUAAGAAAACUAUACUUUAAUAUGGAAACGUAAGAAUGGAAGAGAAAGAAAGAAUCUCCGAUUUAUUGUCUUCAUUUUUAUUCUUAUUCUAUAUGAAUACUAUAUAUUCUAUUAAUACGUAGAUUGAAAUAAUACAUAGAUUGAAAGGUUAUACAUAUAAAGAAGAUAACACAGAUUGAAUAAAGAAAAAAGGAAUCGGUGAUUCGAAUCAUAACCAAAGAGGGGUAGGGAUCUAUUCUUGGUUUUUUCCAAAUCGGCCAAGUUACCCAUUGCAUAUUGGCACUUAUCGAGUAUAGAAUAGAUCUGCUUCUUUUUCGUAUUAUAAACAGAAUUAGCUUCUUUUUUUUAAUGGAAUGAAAUAAAUAUUCACGCUUUCUGACACAGAAUCCCAUAGAAGGGUUAGGUCCAUAGGAUAUGGAUAGUCUUUUACAAUGCGAUAAAAUAAAGCGACAUCGUGUCUAUUUUUCUUUGCUAAAGAGGUAUUUCCAUGGGUUUGCCUUGGUAUCGUGUUCAUACUGUCGUAUUGAAUGAUCCGGGUCGAUUGCUUGCGGUGCAUAUAAUGCACACAGCUCUAGUUUCUGGUUGGGCUGGCUCGAUGGCUUUAUACGAAUUAGCGGUUUUUGAUCCCUCUGAUCCUGUUCUGGAUCCAAUGUGGAGACAAGGUAUGUUCGUCAUUCCCUUCAUGACUCGUUUAGGAAUAACAGAUUCGUGGGGUGGUUGGAGUAUUUCAGGAGGAACUGUAACAAAUCCGGGUAUUUGGAGUUAUGAAGGUGUGGCAGGUACGCAUAUUGUGUUUUCUGGCUUGUGUUUCUUGGCAGCUAUCUGGCAUUGGGUAUAUUGGGACCUAGCAAUAUUCUCUGAUGAUCGGACAGGAAAACCCUCUUUAGAUUUGCCCAAGAUCUUUGGAAUUCAUUUAUUUCUUGCAGGGGUGGCUUGCUUUGGCUUUGGGGCAUUUCAUGUAACGGGUUUGUAUGGUCCUGGGAUAUGGGUGUCCGAUCCUUAUGGACUAACUGGAAAAGUACAAGCUGUAAAUCCGGCGUGGGGUGCAGAAGGUUUUGAUCCUUUUGUUCCGGGGGGAAUAGCUUCUCAUCAUAUUGCUGCGGGUACAUUGGGUAUAUUAGCGGGCCUAUUCCAUCUUAGUGUCCGUCCCCCUCAACGUCUAUACAAAGGAUUACGUAUGGGCAAUAUUGAAACUGUACUUUCCAGUAGUAUUGCUGCUGUUUUUUUUGCAGCUUUCGUAGUUGCUGGAACUAUGUGGUAUGGGUCAGCAACCACCCCAAUCGAAUUAUUUGGGCCUACUCGUUAUCAGUGGGAUCAGGGAUACUUUCAGCAAGAAAUAUAUCGAAGAGUUAGCAAUGGUUUAUCCGAAAAUCUUAGUUUAUCAGAAGCUUGGUCUAAAAUUCCCGAAAAAUUGGCCUUUUAUGAUUAUAUUGGUAAUAAUCCAGCAAAAGGGGGAUUAUUCAGAGCAGGCUCAAUGGACAAUGGGGAUGGAAUAGCUGUUGGAUGGUUAGGACAUCCCGUCUUUAGAGAUAAAGAAGGACGCGAGCUUUUUGUACGCCGUAUGCCUACUUUUUUUGAAACAUUUCCGGUUGUUUUGGUAGAUGAAGAGGGAAUUGUGAGAGCGGACGUUCCUUUUAGAAGAGCAGAAUCCAAAUAUAGUGUUGAACAAGUAGGCGUAACAGUAGAGUUCUAUGGUGGCGAACUUAAUGGAGUAAGUUAUUCUGAUCCUGCUACUGUAAAAAAAUAUGCGAGGCGUUCUCAAUUAGGGGAAAUUUUUGAAUUAGAUCGGGCUACUUUGAAAUCGGAUGGUGUUUUUCGCAGCAGUCCAAGGGGUUGGUUCACUUUUGGUCAUGCUACCUUUGCUUUGCUCUUCUUUUUCGGACACAUUUGGCAUGGCGCUAGAACCUUGUUCCGAGAUGUUUUUGCUGGUAUUGAUCCAGAUUUGGAUGCUCAAGUGGAGUUUGGAACAUUCCAAAAAGUUGGAGAUCCUACUACAAGGAAACAGGCAGUCUGAUACACAUUGUUAUGGUAUCUUUCAUUUCACCUUUCUUUUUUGAUUUGGCAUGGGAAACAUCUCCCAUCCUUUCUUUUACUUUUUUUCUUUGUUUAUAUGGUUUUCUUUCUUUAUAUGGGAAAUUUUCCCAAAUGACAAAUGAAUAGGUGUGGAAGUUAUAAUUGUAAAUAAACCACGAUCGAAUCUAUGGAAGCAUUGGUUUAUACGUUCCUUUUAGUUUCGACUUUAGGGAUAAUUUUUUUCGCUAUCUUCUUCCGAGAACCGCCUAAGGUUCCAACUAAAAGAGUAAAAUAAUUUUAUGGAAGUAAGAAGUCUACCAGAUGGGUAGACUUCUUACUUCCAUUAGUCCCCGUGUUCUUCGAAUGGAUCUCUUAAUUGUUGAGAGGGUUGCCCAAACGCGGUAUAUAAGGCAUACCCAGUAAAGCUUACAAGUAAACCAGAUAUGGAGAUGGCGACUAAAGUUGCUGUUUCCAUUUUUAUAGAAUUUAAAGAUUACAAUGGAUCUACAAAAAGAUCGUGUAUUUACAACUACAACGGAAUAGUAUACAAAGUCAACACCAACGAUUAAAUCGAAUUUAUGGCUACGCAAACCGUUGAAGAUAGUUCUAAACCUAAACCAAGACGAACUGGUGCAGGUAGUUUAUUGAAACCCUUGAAUUCGGAAUAUGGGAAAGUAGCUCCAGGUUGGGGGACUACUCCUUUUAUGGGGGUCGCAAUGGCUUUAUUCGCGAUAUUCCUAUCUAUCAUUUUAGAAAUUUAUAAUUCUUCUGUUUUAUUGGACGGAAUUUUAACCUAUUAGGUUUCUACUAACUAAAAGUACGAAGUCGUAGUUUUUCCAUCCAAAAAAAGCCUUUCUAGUUUAAGCUCUACAUUUCUAGACAUUCUGGUAGUUCGACCGCGGAAUUUUUUUGUUUUGGUAUCUCUGGAAUAUGAGUGUGUGACUUGUUAAAAUUGAUCCUAUUGAUAAUACAUAGAAAGGGCCUGUUAUCUCUAUCAAUAUGAUUCUAAUUCGUCAGAUAUUAUUUAUUCUAGUAUCUGGAACACGAAAUAGAUAGAGUGGAUCAAAAAAAAAAUGGAACUAUGAUUCAUACCCACUAUUCAGACCUCGCAACCAGACUGAAAAAAUUGAAGUAGUUCUUAAUAAAAAAAAAGAAAUUUUCUUCCUUCCAAUUUUGUUUGCACAAAAGACAACUUUAUUUUCUCUCCAUUUUGUCGAGUCAUUACACGGAUUCCAUAAAUGAUUAUCAAGUGGUUCUUAUUCGAAGAACCCUUGCCUUUUGUUUAGCUUGAGACUCAAUCAUCGUGGCUCUAGUAUGAAUCUAAGGUUUAAAUUGAACUGAUUCAUAGGAUCGCAACAAGAUAAUUUCUAUCAGAAAACUACUAGAAUUUUGGCUUUCUUUAUUUACUAGUAAAUAAAGAGUAAAUCCGCAUUACACACAAAAAAAUAAAUCAAAAAUAGGGAAGAGAAAAGUCAAGAGGCCUCUAAUGACCAAUAUAAGGGAAAGGAAGAAAGACAGAUGAGCCAACUUGAGAUUUUUUGGCAUUAGCAUUACAAAGAGGAUAUUCCGGAUUUUUCUUAUUUCAUAUCUUCAAGGCAAAUCGACCCAAUCCAGUGGCUGAUGAAGUUUUGAACCUUUUUUCUAAUAUUCGUUGAAAAUUUGUGUGUUUCUGCUUGAGCCGUACGAGAUGAAAUUUUCAUAUACGGUUCUUAGAGGGGGACUUAGGUUAGUUACCUAUCUCAAUAAAGUAUAUGAUUGGUUUGAGGAACGUCUUGAGAUUCAGGCAAUUGCAGAUGAUAUAACUAGUAAAUAUGUUCCUCCUCAUGUCAACAUAUUUUAUUGUUUAGGGGGAAUUACACUUACUUGCUUUCUAGUACAAGUCGCUACCGGUUUUGCUAUGACUUUUUACUAUCGCCCAACUGUUACAGAGGCUUUUUCCUCGGUUCAAUACAUAAUGACCGAGGCCAACUUUGGUUGGUUAAUCCGAUCAGUUCAUCGAUGGUCAGCAAGUAUGAUGGUUCUAAUGAUGAUCCUACAUGUAUUUCGUGUGUAUCUCACAGGUGGAUUUAAAAAACCCCGCGAAUUAACUUGGGUCACAGGUGUGGUUUUGGCUGUUUUGACUGCAUCGUUUGGUGUAACGGGUUAUUCUUUGCCUUGGGAUCAAAUUGGUUAUUGGGCAGUCAAAAUUGUGACAGGUGUACCUGAUGCGAUUCCGGUAAUAGGAUCGCCUCUAGUGGAGUUAUUACGUGGAAGUGCUAGUGUGGGCCAAUCCACUUUGACUCGUUUUUAUAGUUUACAUACCUUUGUACUUCCUCUGCUUACUGCCGUAUUUAUGUUAAUGCACUUUCCAAUGAUACGUAAGCAAGGUAUUUCGGGUCCUUUAUAGGGAAGGCAUAUCAUAGAGAAUUAGAAUUCUCAUAUAUAAUAUUGGGUAGGUUGUGGUAUUUCAUUGCUACAAACAUGGGUUAUUGUAAAAUAACACAUGUCAUUUGGAUACUUCUCUUCAACUCCGAAGUAUUUUGAUAUAAUACAAAUAGUUGAAGUUAAUUUUACAAAAGAAAAAAAGGCGGAUUAUGGGAGUGUGUGACUUGAAUUAUAGAUUUGGCCAUGCAGAUAAAGAAUUGGAUCUGCCACAUUAGAAUUCACAACCAAAGGUGUCUCCGCAUCCAAUCAACACGUAAGUCCCCUACCUAGGAAGGAUAGGCUGGUUCACUUGAGGAGAAUAUUUUCUAUGAUCAUACCCCAACCAUGUCAUCCAUGAAAAGGCUCCGUAAGAUCCCAUAGAGUAGAAAUGGAAUAAGUCAUGUGACAUGAUCCAAUUCUCUAUUUAUUACACUUACCUUUUUUUAUUAUGGUAUGGAAAUGCAUUCAUUUUCUUUGCAUCGAUUGUGAUUCGCAAUACUAUCGGAGUAAAAGAAGGGAUCUAAGGAAGAGCAUAGGCUAAACUUUUUGAUUUUUUUAUUAGUAACAAGUAAAUACUUUGUUUGGGCGUAAGAAACUUGCGAUAGUGAGGGGAUAAAGACCAACUAAUCAAGAGACAUGAGACAAUCCACAAAGCAAUUGAUCAUGAUCAAAUUUGUAAGCCCACUUGGAUAUUGAGCAUUUACCCAUAAGAAUAGGAUUAUUUUCAAUGAGUAGUUGUAGGUGCAACUUCGGAAAAGAUAAUCUGAUAAAGCUUUUCUUGCCUAGAGUCAUUGAGUAAUUAUAUACCUUAUUCUAUUAUUAUUAUGGAUCUUCCGCGGUCUUAUUUCUUUCUUUAUUGCUCGAGCCGGAUGAUGAUAAAUUCUCAUGUCCGGUUCCUUUGGGGGAUGGAUCCUAAAGAGUUCACCUAUCCCAAUAACAAAGAAACCAGACUUAAAUGAUCCUGUAUUAAGAGCAAAAUUAGCUAAAGGGAUGGGACAUAAUUAUUACGGCGAACCCGCGUGGCCCAACGAUCUUUUAUAUAUUUUUCCAGUAGUAAUUCUAGGUACUAUUGCAUGUAAUGUAGGUUUAGCUGUUCUCGAGCCAUCAAUGAUUGGUGAACCCGCGGAUCCGUUUGCAACUCCUUUGGAAAUAUUACCCGAGUGGUACUUCUUUCCCGUGUUUCAAAUACUCCGUACGGUACCCAAUAAGUUAUUGGGCGUUCUCUUAAUGGUUUCUGUGCCAACAGGCUUAUUGACAGUACCUUUUCUAGAGAAUGUCAACAAAUUCCAAAAUCCAUUUCGUCGCCCGGUAGCUACGACCGUUUUUUUAAUCGGUACUGCAGUAGCUCUUUGGUUAGGUAUUGGAGCAACAUUACCCAUUGAUAAAUCCUUAACUUUAGGCCUUUUUUAGGUAUUUUUCAGGUUGAUUCAUUCAACCGUGAAGUACCGUGCAUAGGUAUCUAGGAAAUAGUUACUUCGAAGUGAAUUUUCCCUAGAUACCUAAAAUCCAUUUUAUUAUGAUCCAUUUCGCGAAAAUAUAGAUUCUCCUGAAGAUGCAAACUUGUUUUUUUCUUUUUAUCCUAACUCGAAAAAGAAGAAGAGCCAAAAAUUGCAAUGGAUUUAAAACGAGAGCUUAUUCUUAAGUAAAUCAACUGGGAGAUGCUUCUCUAGAGUGUCCCAUAUCUGUUUUCCAUCUUCCAUACGAAAACUGUCAAUUCUCAUAAGAUCUUCUUCAGUCUUACUCAAAAGGUCCAAUAGUGUAUGUAUAUUGGCCCUUUUGAGAUAAUUAUACGUUCUAGAAGGCAAUUCUAAUUGAUCAAUAAAAAUAAAAUUCAAUGGAAUUCCUUUUUUGUUUUUCUUUCGAUUAGUCAAUCUUUUUUGAAAAGUAAAAAGGGGUGGAGUAAACCUGUUUUUAUUUUCUUCGAAACCAGUUCCCUCUUCCUCUGCGUGUAGAAAAGGAAGAAAUAAAUCAAUCAAAUUACGAGAAGCCUCAUAAAGCGCUUCCUUAGGGGUUAAACUUCCAUUAGUCCAUAUUUCGAGAAAAAGUAUCUCGUGUUUUUCAUUUCCAUUCCCACAAGAAAAAAUACUAUAAUUCACAUUUCGAACAGGCAUGGAUACAGCAUCUAUAGGAUAACUUCCAUCUUGAUAGUUCUUUCUAAGUUCCGUCUGAUAUCCACGAUCUCUCUUGAUCUGUAACUGAAUACAGAAAUCAAUGGGCUCGGUCAAGUUAGCUAUAGGCUGUGCCGUAUCAACGACUUCUACGGAAGGUGGUAAGAUAAUAUCUUGAGCAGUUAUGCAUCUGGGACCUUUGACGCAAAUGGAUGCGUCUCUAACUCCAUAGAGAUUACUUCUCAAUACAAUUUCUUUCAAAUUUACUAAAAUUUCUUGUACGGAUUCUUCAAUACCCGCUAUUGUAGAAUAUUCGUGUGGCACGCUUCCAAAUUUUGCACGUGUGAUACAUGUUCCUUCUAUUUCUCCAAGUAAAGCUCUUCGCAAGGCAAUACCGACGGUAUCUGCUUGACCUUUUAUAAGCGGGGACAGAAUGAAACGACCAUAAUAAAGACGCUUACUAUCUACUCUUGAUUCAACACACUUCCACUGUAAUGUUUGAGUGGAUCCUGCUACCUCCUCUCGAACCAUAAUAGACUAGUAUUAUUAUUUGAUCAUUGAAUCGUUUAUUUCUCUUGAAAGCGGGUUAAUUCUUUUACAGACGCCUUUUUUUAGGCGGUCGACAUCCAUUAUGCGGCAUAGGUGUUACAUCGCGUAUACAACUUAAGCGCACACCACUUUUAGCAAUGGCUCGUAAUGCGGCAUCUCUUCCACUACCAGCGCCCUUUACCAUAACUUCUGCUCGUUGUAAACCUACUGUACGAAUAGCAUCGACUGCUGUUCUUUGACCAGCAUAGGGUGAUGCUUUUCUUGAGCUUUUGAAUCCACAAGUACCCGCAGAGGACCAGAAAACCACUCGACCUUGUGGGUCUGUAACAGUUAUAAUGGUAUUGUUGAAACUAGCUUGAACAUGAAUAACCCCUUUUGUUAUUCUACGUGCACUCUUCCGUAAACUAAAACGUGCAUUCCUACGUAAACCAAUACGCACUCUCUUACGUGAACCUAUUUUUGGUACAGCUUUUGCCAUAUUUUAUUAUCUCAUAAAUCUCAUAAAUAUGAGUAAAAAAAAUAAAAAAAAGAUACAAAGAUAUCCGUUUCAGGGUAAAAUAUACCCUUUACUUUAAUUAUUUCAAAUUAUUUUAUUAUUAAUUUAAACAUUCCCGCAGGUAUUCUUUUUUUUUACUUUUUAGAAAGUAAAGUGCUUUUUCGAAAGAUUAUCCCUGUCUUUGUUUAUGUUUCGGGUUGGAGCAAAUGACUCUAAUUCGGCCACGCCUACGAAUCAGUCGACAUUUUGUACAAAUUUUACGAACGGAAGCUCUUAUUUUCAUAUUUCCGUAUCCUUUCUUAAACCAUGAAUCUAAUCUUUUGGAAAAAAUAAGUCUCUUCGCUGUAAUUUUUGAACUUUGCAUUUAUUAUUCUAGAAAAAAGAAAAACCUAAUCCUUCAAAUCUUCGCUAUCCUUCAAAUCUUCGCUAUCCUUCGAGUCUUCGAUACGCUUCGAAUCCUUAUGGGGAAGUCUAUAAAUGAUACGUCCCUUGCUUGAAUCAUAACGACUUACUUCAAUUUUGACCCUAUCCCCCAUCAGUAUUCGUAUAGAACUAGACCGAAUCUUUCCUGAAAUAUAGCCCAGGAUGAUGGUGUCAUUCUCUAGACGAACGCGGAACAUUCCGUUGGGUAGGGCUUCCGUAACUAAACCUUCGAAAGUUACUUUUGCUUCUCUCGGGUUUUUCUUUUCUCGCCUAUUUUUUUUUUCUGUCAUUUUUUUUUUCUGCUAUUUUUUUCUUUUUAUUUGAAUAAUAGGAAGUUCGAGAGAGAAUUCGGGCACUAUAGGCAAGGCGAUUACCAUAUAUAACAUAAGACUUCUCCCCCAAUUCUGUUUAGUCGAGCCUCUCGAUCUGUCAUUAUCCCUCGAGAAGUAGAAAGAAUAGCAAUUCCCAUUCCACCCAAAACUUUAGGAAUUCCUUGAUAGUUGGUAUAAAUUCGUAAGCCGGGUCGGCUGAUACGCUUUAAAAAAGUUCUUGUUCUAUAUAUUCCUUUUCUAGUCUUUCUCUUUUGAUGUCGCAAAGUUAAAACCAAGAAAUAUCUGUUACGUUCCUGAUGUUUCCGAACACUUUCAAUAAAACCCUCUCGUAGAAGUAUUUUUACAAUGUUUUCAGUAAUAUUUGUAGAUACUACUCGAACUGUUGCUUUUUUAUUCAUGUCCGCGUUUCUUAUAGAGGUUAGUAAAUCAGCAAUAGUGUCUUUGCCCAUAAGAUUCUAAUUCUAGGUUCCUCCCAAUUUUUCUAUAAUCAACAUGUUUUCUUUUUUUUCUUUUCAUUUUAGAUUUUAAAACAUAUACGUGAAACACAAUCUACUAAUUCACUCUUUGAUCUAAAUUUCGCCUACUAGUAUUUAUAAUACUUCAGGAGCUAAUGAAACUAUUUUGGUAAAAUUCAAUUCUCUCAAUUCCUCGGUGAUCGCCCCAAAAACUCGAGUUCCUUUUGGAUUUCCUUUUUGAUCAAUUAUAACCGCUGCAUUGUCAUCAUAGCGGAUUAUUAUACCGUCUUCACAUUUGAACUCUUUACAUGUACGUACAAUUACAGCUCGAAUUACUUCGGAUCUUUCUAGAGGCAUUUGGGGCACUGCGUCUUUGAUUACAGCAACAAUAACAUCACCAAUACGAGCAUAUCGCUGAUUACCAGCAGUUCCUAUGACUCGAAUACACAUCAAUUUUCGAGCUCCACUAUUAUCUGCUACAUUUAAAAGGGUCUGAGGUUGAAUCAUAUUAUUUGGAUUUCAAUUUUUUAUUUCGAUGCAAAAGGAUGAAAGAAAUAUUGUCUUUCCAGAAAGAAAAACCCGUUUUUGGGGUUCUAUAUCUCUAAUCGAAUAAAUUGACUUCGUAUGGGCAUUUUACUGGCAGCUAUGGAGAUAGCUGCUCUAGCUACAGUUUCGGAUACUCCACCCAUUUCAUAAAGUAUACGACCUGGUUUAACAACAGCUACCCAAUAUUCGGGGGACCCCUUUCCCGAGCCCAUACGUGUUUCCGUGGGUCUUAGUGUAACUGGUUUGUCGGGAAAUAUACGUACCCAUAUUUUUCCACCACGACGUGCAUAUCGUGUUAUUGCUCUUCGUCCCGCUUCUAUCUGUCUCGCCGUGAUCCAAGUGGGUUCAAGUGCUUGAAGAGCAUAUCUACCAAAACAAAUACGAUUGCCUCGGCAGGAUUUUCCUUUCAUUCUUCCUCUAUGUUGUUUGCGAAAUUUGGUUCUUUUGGGGUUAUAGUCGAUGGUUCUUUCGUAGUUCCAUCUCUACUGCAAAACUGGACAUGAGAGUUUCUUCUCAUCCAGCUCCUCGCGAAUUAAAUGAGAAAGCGUGGAAAUUGCUCUAAUUCCAUAAUAUUCAAAAAUAUUAUGGAUAGAUACACAUUAAUAGGUAAUAGAAAAAGUUAGUUUUUUUUAUUUUUCAUAGUUAAUUUUGUUCAAAUAGAAAAAUAUAUAGUCAAGAAAGAAGAUCUAGAAUAUAUCUAGAUGUGUGUGUCUAUUUAUCUAUAUUCUAUUUUUAACGUAAUCCUUCUUAAAAAAAAUAUCUUUCUUUUUACUUUUAUUGAAUUUAUUGAAUUAUUGAAUUGCGGUAAAGUAUUCUAAUUCAAUAAGGAUUUCGCGGGCGAAUAUUUACUCUAUUCCUGUCUUAUUUGGUAAUUUAUAACCUUACCAAAUAAGACAAUUUUUGGGGUUUGUUCCGCCAUCCCGUCCAAUGAGGUUUUUGGAUUCUUUGCAAUAAAAUCCUAUGGAGUCAUAGGUUCUGUCGUUCCCACUGCUUCUCCUUGAAUGGUUAGGUCUGAAUCCCGCAACGGAGCUUCAAAAAAAUGUCUUUCCGAGUUAAUUUUCUCAGUUUUAUUAACCCGGGUGGCUCUUUAAUUAUUGCUUUAAAUUUGUAGUUCUUGUUUCAAGUUACGAUUUCUAAUUCUCUGUUAUUUUUAUUAUAUUAUAUUGAUGCUUUAUCACAUUGCCUUUUUUGAUGCAAUUCAUAGACCAUACAUAUUGGAAUCCUAUAUCUUACUUAUUCUUCUUUCUAUCAUCUUUCCCUUUAUCUACAUCCCUUUAGUUUUUCUUCAGAACCUAGAAUCUCGUUUCUUUUUUAGAGAAAAAAUUGCAGUUGCUACAACUAUAUGAUAGAUCUACUCAUUUAUGAUAGAGAUAUUUAUUCAGAUAGUGACUGCUUCUUAGUUAGGAUCUCGACAAUACGAAGCAAUAGGUUGGUUAUUAGUUAAUUUUCUAUAAUUACUAAAUUUUUUUCUUUUUUUAAAGAAAAAAAUAACGAGUCACACACUAAGCAUAGCAAUUAUAUUAAAUGAUUUAUCAAUUUUCAUUAAAUCUUAUAGAAAGAGGUAUAAUUUCUUCUUUUUUUUAGGGAUUUCGGGAAAAAAGGCUCUUGUCAUUUUUUAUUCUAUCACUGCACAGAAUGCGAAGACAAGAUUAGUUAUUCUUCAUCUACGAAUAUCCAAAUUUUUACACCUAAUACUCCAUAGAUAGUUCGAAUUGGAUAGCAACAAUAAUCAAUUUUAGCGCGAAUUGUUUGGAGAGGAAGUCUACCCUUUUUGAUGCAUUCCGCACGUGCAAUUUCUUUUCCUCCGAGACGACCCGCUAUUUUUACUUUGACUCCCCUUAUAUCUGCUUUUUUAGUUAAUUCAAUGGCUUUUUUUAUUGCCUUUCGGAAUGAAACUCGAUUUUUUAAUUGAAAAGCUAUAUAUUCUGCAAGAAUGUUAGGUUGUCUAUAAGGCUCUUUAACUUUUUCGAUAGAAAUAUUAAGUCUCUGGUUUACAGAGUUAAUUUCUUUUUGUAGAUCUUUCUCUAAUUCUUCGAUUACUCCCUUUUUCUUUAAUAAAUUUGGAAAUCCUAUAUGGAUUAUGACGUGGAUCGUAUCAAUUUCUUUUUGAAUUUCUAUAUGUGUAAUUACUUCGGAACUUGAACCUGAGUCCAUUUUUCUAUUAUGUGUAAUUACUUCGGAACUUGAGUCUGAUUCUAUUUUUCUAUUCGAGCCCUUUUUCCUAUUUUUUUGUAUAUAGUUCUUGAUACAAUUCCUUAUUUUUUUAUCUUCCUGUAGACCCUCAGAAUAAUUUUUUGGUUGUGCGAACCAAAAGGAAUGGUGUUUUUGGGUUGUACCAAGUCUGAAACCAAGUGGAUUUAUUUUUUGUCCCAUAUUUUUCUAUUCUAUUUUUUUUUUACUGGGAAUCGAAAUCUUAGCUGGAUCUAAGGGUUAUUUAGAUCUCUUUACUAUAUUUAGUGCAAUUGUUAUAUGACACAUGCUUUUUUUUAUGGGGAAACUGCGCCCUCGAGCCCGAGGUCUGAAUUUUUUCAUAAUAGUACUUCUACUGACUUCGGCUUUAGUUAUGAAUAAAUUCGCUUUGUCGAAAUCCCUAUAAUGAGCAGCAUUUGCUGCUGCCGAAUAAACCAACUUUAAGAUGGGAUAAGAUGCUCGAUAAGGCAUGAGGUUCAGUAUCAUAACUGUUUCCUCAUAGUAACGCCAGCGAAUCUCAUCAAGAACCCUUUGUGCUUUGAAGACAGACAUAUGGAUACGUUUUUGUGCUUUGAAAACUCGCUCGAACUUAAGUAGACGAUCGGUUGGAACUUUCCUUGCAAGUUUCCUUAGCCCACUUUUCUUCUUCUUUAUCCUAGGGAUAUACUUUACUAAUUUGAAACUUGUCAUAAAUAAGGUUAUUCCCCGCCUACCUUUACUUUGCAUCUUUUUUUUAUUCUGAAUCUUUCUAUUCUGAAUUCAGUUAACGACGAGAUUUAGUAUCCUUUCUUGCAUUUUCAUAACUCGUGAAAUGCCGAGUAGGUACGAAUUCCCCCAAUUUGCGACCUACCAUAGGAUUUGUUAUGUAAAUAGGUAUAUGUUCCUUUCCAUUAUGAAUCGCGAUUGUAUGGCCAACCAUUGUGGGUAGAAUGCUAGAUGCCCGGGACCACGUUACUAUUGUUUCUUUCUCCUCCUUCAUAUUGACCUUUUCUAUUUUUGCCAAUAAAUGAUGAGCUACAAAAGGAUUCGUUUUUUUUCGUGUCACAGCUGAUUACUCCUUUUUUUCCUUUUUAAAGAGCGGCAAUCUAUGUCCAAUAUCUCGAUCGAAGUAUGGAGGUCAGAAUAAAUAGAAUAAUGAUGAAUGGAAAAAAGAGAAAAAUCCUGUAGCUGGAUAAGGGGCGGAUGUAGCCAAGUGGAUCAAGGCAGUGGAUUGUGAAUCCACCAUGCGCGGGUUCAAUUCCCGUCGUUCGCCCAUCGCAUUAUUGCAAAUGCAAAAAAUGCAAUUUUCCAUAUUCCUAGUUACGUAUUUACUUACGGCGACGAAGAAUAAAACUAUCGCUAUAUUUUUUCCUUUUCCUAGUUCUUCUUCCAAGCGCAGGAUAACCCCAAGGGGUUGUGGGUUUUUUUCUACCAAUGGGGGCUUUCCCUUCACCGCCCCCAUGGGGGUGGUCCACAGGGUUCAUAACUACCCCUCUUACUAUGGGGCGUUUACCUAGCCAACACUUAGAUCCGGCUCUACCCAAACUUUUUUGGUUCACCCCAACAUUACCCACUUGUCCGACUGUUGCUAAGCAGUUUUGGGAUACUAAACGGACCUCCCCAGAUGGUAAUCUUAAAGUGGCUGAUUUACCCUCUUUUGCAAUAAGUUUCGCUACAGCACCUGCUGCUCUAGCUAAUUGGCCACCCCUUCCACGUGUGAUUUCUAUGUUAUGCAUGGCCGUGCCUAAGGGCAUAUCGGUUGAAGUAGAUUCUUCUUUUCUCUCAAAAAACCCCUUCCCAAACUGUACAAGCUUCUUCCAAAGCAUACGGCUUUCUAGAUGUAUAUGACGAUCUCUAGACAGAUGGAUCUUAUAUAAAUCAUAUGAUGAAGUACCACAUGAGUGGAUAUAUAGGAAAGGAAUCCAAAUCUGCCGAAUCGCUCAUGUUAGGAUCUUCUACAUCCUAGGUCUCCGCGUUCCGUCAUCUGGCUUAUGUUCUUCAUGUAGCAUUCAGAUCGAAUGACUCUAUGAAAUUACGUUGAUACUUCCACAUAUUAUGGGUAACGUAGGAGACAUCCCUUUUUUCCCCGGGGGUCUUAAUUACCACUGCUUAGCUUUCAAUUCGCCUCUGACCAUCAAAUUAAAUGUGAAUAACCCGUCCUACUCUCUUUGAAACAAGGGGCGCUUCCGGUUCUGUGCGUGCUUCAAACAAUUUUGUCUUCUCCAUAUUACCAUAUCUCUAGAGUCAAUAAUUUUCUAUGAGGAACUACUGAACUCAAUCACUUGCUGCCGUUACUCAACAGUUUUCUGUUAAGGUCUAUCCCGUAGAGGUAGUCAAAUUGGAUCAGUGAUCGAUUUCUAGGUUUCGUCGUAAACCUAAUUGGUUACUUCCAAUUACGUAAAUCAAUAGUUCAAACCGCACUCAAAGGUAGGGCAUUUCCCAUUGAUAUAGGAACUUUUGUACCAGAAACAAUAGUAUCUCCAAUUAUAGCCCCUCUGGGAUGUAAAAUAUAUCUCUUCUCACCAUCCCCAUAGUGUAUGAGACAAAUGUAUGCAUUUCGAUUAGGGUCGUAUUCUAUGGUUACGAUUCUACCAGAUAUGUCUUUUUGAUUCCGUCGAAAAUCGAUUUUACGGUAUAGGCGUUUAUGACCUCCCCCUCUAUGCCUUGCGGUAAUGAUUCCUCUGGAAUUACGACCUUUACCACAACGGUGCCGUCCAUGGAUCAAAUUAUUUCGUGGAUUGGAUUUCACUUGCCUGUCUACGGUUCCCUUGCGUGUACUCGAGAUAGGUGUUUUGUAUAAAUGUUUCGCCGUAUUAUUAAGUAUUCUCCUUUAGUUUUUUUCUCUAUCUAGAAGUGGAAUAGAAUAACCCGGUUGAAGGGUAAUGAUCAUACGUCUGUAAUGCAUUGUAUGUCCCAGAAUAGGUCCUAUUCUUCUACCCUUUCCGGGUAGUCGAUGGCUAUUCACAGCUACUACCUUAACACCAAAGAAGAGUUCGACCCAAUGCUUUAUUUCUGUCUUAGUGAAUCCUGAUUCGACAUUAAAAGUAUAUUGAUUCUUUCCCAAUAAACGAAGACUUUUUUCUGUAAAUACUGCGUAUUUGAUUCCAUCCAUAAAUCGACUUUCCCUCCUAUGCUCUGAGUUCCAGUAUCGAUAAGAAUUCGAGUUCUUAUUGUUCUUAUGUUAUGGUAUGAAUAUACCAUACCAAUUCGUUAUGUAUGGAUGAUGGAUGAGAUUCCAUGGAUAGAGAGCCAGUUCCAAUAGACUUAUGGAACGUUCCCGUUCGCGUGCAUCCAGCAGGAAUUGAACCCGCAAAUUUACCAAUUAUGAGUUGGGCGCUUUAACCAUUCAGCCAUGGAUGCUUAACAGGGAUCAUCCUACAUCGUAAAUAACCAAUUUUCAUAUAGAAAGACAUAUCAUAGAAAAAUGAAAUCGAAAAUAUUCGGAGAUGGCAAAUAUUCGGAGAUGACUAUGAAAACACCUCUCUGGAUCCUCGAAUUGAAAGAGAGAUUGAGAGGGAUCAAGAAUCCUAAUUCUCUCUAUUUGGAAUGGAUCCAAUUCUAUUGAGUCUGACUCAUAGUGAUCAUUUCUCUUUAGCAAAGAAUGACCUUGGUUAUCAAAGGAUUGAACAACCGGGAUCCAUUUACUUAUGAUACCUAGUUGGCAUUGAUAACAAGGAUCUAAUGAAUUAUGAGUUUAAUAGAUCCUCUUUAGCAGAAAGACGUAUAUUCCUUGCUCAUUAUCAGACAAUCACUUAUUCCCAAACCUCGUGUGGGGCUAAUCGUUUUCAUUUACCAUCUCAUGGAAAACCCUUUUCGUUCCGCUUAGCCCUAUCGGGUAUUUUAGUGAUAGGUUCUAUAAGAACUGGACGAUCCUAUUUGGUCAAAUACCUAACGAAAAAUUACGAUUUUCCUUUCAUUAAGGUACGAGGGCUUCUUAUUCCACAAGAACGAAAGCACCUUUUCAUUCUUUCAUAUACUAGGGGUUUUUACUUAGAAAAGACAAUGUUCCAUACUAAAAGAUUCGGGUGCAUAACCACGAGUUCCAGUGCACUAGAUCUUGUAGCACUUAGCAACGAGGCCCUAUCCAUUAGUAUUCCACAUAAGAAAUCCAUUAUAGAAAAAAAUACAAUUAGAUUAACUCUUCAUAGACAAACUUGUGGUUUGCGAGCCAAGGUAAGAUCGGCUCGGGAUCAUGGGACCUUUUUCUAUCAGAUAGGAGGGGCUCUUGUACAAAAUAGACUUAUAAGUAAUAACCCCAUAGAAUCAAUCUAUCUAUAUAAAGAGGCGAUCGUGUCAGGAAGCGGGUUUUUCUUUGGCCAAAAGGUACUUCGAACUUGGAACGAGCAUGAAGAGAUUAACGAGACUUCUUUCUCUUUUGCGUUUUUAUGGCGGACCUGCCGCGCAAGAUCUUUGGUCUUCCCCUGGAACCGAUGAAAAAAAGUGGAUCGCUUCUUAUGGACUCGCUCAGAAUGAUUCUUCUCUAUCUAUAGUUCAUGGCCUAUUAGAAGUAGAAGGUGCUCUGGUGCAAUCCUUACCGACAGAAAAAGAUUGCAGUCAGGUUGAUAAUAAUCGAGUGCCAUUACUUCGUCGGUCCGAACCAAGGAAUCCGUUAGAAAUGUUUUGAAAUGGAUAUUGUUCUCUCUUUGAUCAGGGAUUGCUAUAUGAAAAGAAGUGGAGUUUGAAAAAGGGAACGGAAUGGUCAAACCGGAACUGCUAGAGGAACGAAUUUUCAAUAGCAUAACUUGGGCUCCUAGAAUAUGGCGCCCUUGGGACAAUCCAUUUGAUUGCAGGGUUUUGUUCCGAAGCAAAGAUAUCCGCGGAGGCCAGUUCGUUCGUCCUAUUCUGAUAUUCAGGACCAAGAGGUACUGGAUUCUCUUUCGGAUAGGCCCUGAAAGGAGAAGAAAGGCUGAAAUGCCAACGGACCUCUGUCUAUUCUCUAAUUCACCCGAGCCGAUAGUACCCGUUUUUGGAACGUCCAGUGCCAAAGUCACUGAAUGGGUAAGUCACCAAUCCAACCCCUUUGACAAAUCGGGUGUCAUAUUAGAUAUCAUAUUCUAUAUA